rnacentral:lncRNA from 1 species
ACCCAUUUGAAAGGUGACAAUAUGACAUCUUAUUGUUCAAAUUACUUGUCAUAAUUCAAAAAUCCUAACAUGACACUUUUGUAAAUGUAGGUUCAUGGGAUAUGCUAAACGUUCGGUUAAGAAUAAAGCUAGGGUUGAAGGAUCUAUUUGUGCAUCAUACUUGCAUAGAGAGACAACUCAUUUUUGUUCCCAUUAUUUCAAAAACUUCAUGUUAACACCACAAAGCAAUAGAAAUGAAGUAAACAUUGAAACAUAAAGCCUUCUGACAACAUUAUCAGUGUUUGACCAACCUGGUCGUCAUUCUGGGAGGGAAUCAACUCAUUGGUUAAGUGAUAAAGAAUUGAGAUCAGCUCAUGUUCAUGCUUUGAUCAAUUGCGAUGAUGUUCAACCUUACCUUGAGUAAGCCUCCAAAAUCCUAUAUAUUUCCCAAAUAUUUCAUUUGAUAUAUUUCAUUAUCUUUGAUCCAAUCUCGUCAUACAUGUCGACAGCUCGUUCUUACAUACCUAUCAACUAUCUGAGUCAAACAGUUCGGCAUACAUACAUGCUAAUUUCCCAUUGUGGUUUAGGCAAAAGGUACGACUUCGAAUCAUUGGACUCUCAUUCAUUUCUUCCUUAAUUAUUCAAUCAUUACAUUAUUCAAUAGUUUAAUAUACUUUAUGGUUGUAGGUUCAUGACGAGCCUUUAAGUGUGAGGAACCAACAUCUUAGAGAUUUAUCACUUGCUCCUUUAAGGUAUGUAAAGGAAUAACACACCUUCUUUGCUAAUGGAUACAAAUUUCAUAACCAUGCAUGGAGCCAGGACAAGAGGACAAUAAAUAGUGGGAUUCAUGUUAAAGGACUAAUAGAAGGAGGUCAAGAUGAUUUCUAUGGUGUGAUUAAACACAUCUAUGAGUUGGAAUACAAUUCAGCAACCACUGAAAAGAAAAUUGUAUUAUUUUAUUGCGAUUGGUUUGAUCCAUCGAGAGUAGGUACAAGGGUGGAUUCAAAGUAUGGCAUUGUGGAUAUUCGAAUGGAUAAAAGAUAUGUGUUGUUUGAUCAUUUUAUAAUUGCACAUAAUGUACAACAAGUUUAUUAUGUACCAUAUCCUAAAUCACGCACGGACAAACGAGGUUGCUGUGUUGCGAUAAAGACGAAACCUAGAGGACGCAUUCAUUCUAAUUAUGUAGAAACGGAUGUCCCAUACCAAGUGGAGGAAAUGUCACAUGUUAAUGAUGUCAUUGAAGUUGAAGAAGUUGUCCGAUUACAAGAUGUAGAAGCUAGUCUUGAACAAGUGGACCCCAACAAUAUUAAUUUUUCAUCAUUUCAAGGUCAUGAAGAUACAAUUGAAUCAGAAGAAUCCAAUGAAGAGGGAGAAGGUGAAGAUGAUAACGAAGAUGAAUUUCAAAGUUCUGGCACUGAAUAGAGUUAGGGUUUGUUUUUCAUUUAUUUUUGCUACAUUUAUAAUGUUGUCCAGUUUAGAAAUGUAGUAUUCCAAUAUAGUAGGCUUUUUAGGCUUAUAUUUUGUCAAUUCUUAUCAAAUCCCAAUAGCUUGCAUGACCCUGAUGUAUCUGUGCUUGUUAUUGCUAAGAAACAGAAAACACAUUUUAUUGUUAAUGCUUUCUGGCCAAUCUUCUUUAUGAGAAACUGUUGCGAAUUUUAAUUUUCCAAUGUUACUUAAUGUUUUUAAGGUUUAGAGUUAAAUAUAUUAGUAUUCUUUGGUGGCUUAUAAUAAAGACAAAACAAUUUAAAAAAUUUAGAAGAAUCAACCAUUGUCUUCUGUGACUUCUAAAAGAUUCAAUAAAUAUAUGAAUAAGAACAUGGUAAAAAAGCCUUACUAUCAUGACGCCCAUAAUUCUGUCGCACAAGAGUAUCUCCUCCACUGAUAUCAAUAAGAACAAAAAUUUCCUUUAUACAUCCAUAUGCUUUCAAGAAUUGGUCAUCCUACUCCUUACCUCUAUACCUUUCAACGUUUUCCCUCUUCUAGAAAGUGUAUCAGGCAUAACUAUAACAUCUUUUCUAUACAAACUUAGUGCAGAGGAAUUUUCAUCAACUGUUUCUAUAAAUUGUUGCUUUCCUCAACGCAAUUUUUCAACAAUUACAGCAGCUUCUGCAUCUUCAUCCUCAAAUUCUGUUUUGGUUUCUUCCCAAUAAUCCUCCUCCACUGGUUCCAUCAUUUUGUUUCUAUCAAGGCAUCGAUACCUUUGUUGUCAUCUCCACUCUUUUAUUUCCUCUUAACAUUUAUGAUACAUGUUCUUAUUCAUAGAAACAUAAUUUAAGUGGAGGUUGAAUUUGUCUUUGCUUUAAUCUGUUUGAUGAAAUUGAAAUACUGUGCUUAUGAACUUGCACUUAUUUAUUGACUGGAAAUAAGUUAGACAAUCCGUUAGAGAUUUAUGACCUAACUGACCUUUUUUUUUUUGUAUGAUAUAAUUAAACAGAACUAGUCUUUUAAUUUAAUAACAUUGAUUGUUUUUUAAAAAGAGUGUUAUCAUACAUUUCCUCUGUUUCAUUUUCAUUUUGUGUCACUGUAUAAGAAUUUGCACAAUUAGUCAUAUAGAACCAUAGUGUAACUGGAUCUUGGAAAUGUAUUUAAUGCCAUUGAUUGGCAAGUUUACCAUAAUUUUUUUUUUAUUAUUAUGAGACAAUGAAUCUUGUAGGGCAAAUGUGUUCGUUAUGUAAAUAGUGAUAGGAGUAUAUACAAAUAAUUACUAUUCAUGAUUACAAAUAUCCUAAUUCCUGAAUUAGUAUCCUCUUUUAAUAGAACAAAUUAAUAUAAUUAAGGAGAUAAAAGAUUUCUUGAUUAACAUCCCUUUAAUUAAGGUGAUUGGUUAAUAAAAGAAAAUUAAUAUAAUUAAAAUAACCGCGUCAUCAGCUAGACACUACUCUGAGACAUCAAAGGCUGCUUGUUUUGUCAAUGGCGUGGAAAACCCAUAUAAGUGAAUCUCAUGUAGGACCAACAAGGAGGGUGUAGGAGAUGACAUAUUUUCUGAAUCUCAUGUAGGACCAACAAAGGAGUGUGUAGAAUAAAAUCAACAGUCCCUUGGUAGAGUGAUAGCUGACCAUAAUAUUCAAGACUAUUAUUCUUGGAAGGAAAAGCUUGCAAACAAGGCACCUUUUGAAGCUUCAUCAACAAGAAAUUCUUCCCCUUUUGCUUAUUCAGGUAUUUGUAUGAUAAAAUUAAAUAGAAAUGNUGAUAAUGUUAUUAACUUGACAAGAUUGUAUUAUACAAAUUUCAUGCAUUUAGUUAGAUUUAAUUUCAAAGGAAAAUUUACCAAAUCACCAUUUAUUNGAAAUGGAGAAAGAACCUUUAAAUUAUUGGUGUACUCCUUCACAGUGAUGUCUGUGGACUCAUGAGAUUUCAAGCUAAAAGAGAAUUAUUUUAUUUUAUCACCUUCACUGGUUAUGUUUCGUGAUAUGGAUUUCUGUAUCCAAAUUUUCUUUGCCAUUUUCCUACCCAUCUGAACCUCUAGAACCUCAGAUACACCCUUCAAAGGAUAUGAUUUCAACCAAACUCAAAUGUGUCUUGAGAAGGAAAAAAUGCUUGUUGUUGUUAAACUUGAACACAAAGUAGUCAUUGAUUCUAAAGGCAUCUGAUAGGAGUUUAGUAGUGUUGUCCAUAGUUGAAAUCAUUAUUGCCAAUUAUUGAAUCAUGUUUUUUACCAUGUAAUUUAUAUUAUUACCAUUGCAACAUAUUUUUCUCUUGUUGAUUGAAUCAUGUUUACACUGUUAUAUAAUUCCAUCAUUGCACCUUCAGGAAUAUGGCAUCAGGUGGUUCUGGCCCUCCUCUUCCACCUUCAGGAAAAUUUGAUAAGGAGAAGGGGAAGAAAUCUUAUGUAAUCAAGUUCCUUCCNCAUUNCGAUAAUGAAAUUGGUUCAAGUGGUCAGGCAACUACCCCUUCCUCUACCUCCACUGGUAGAUAUAUUCCAUCUCCAUUACAAGUUCCUGGCUUGACUCCCACUCCACANACAUCUACACCUACCUCUCUUCCAUCUCCAUUACAAGUUCCUCCCACUCCACAUACAUCUACACCUACCUCUCUUCCAUCUCCAUUACAAGUUCCUGGCUUGAUACCCACUCCAUACCAAUUACAUACUAAUCAAAUGUCAUCACUCUCUCCCAAUGUUGGUUCUAACCCAUCAACUCCCACAGAUAAUGCAGGAUCACCUGGUACAGUGGAUGCAGAUCCACAUUCCAGUUCAGCCGUCAAUGAUGUCGAAGAAGGUUCCAACAAUCAUCCAAUGAUUAGACCCGUUGGAGGAGGGUAACAAAAAAAUUGAACUCAAUUAAUAUAUAUAUAUAUAUAUAUAUAUAUAUAUAUAUNNNNNNNNNNNNNNNNNNNNNNNNNNNNNNNNNNNNNNNNNNNNNNNNNNNNNNNNNNNNNNNNNNNNNNNNNNNNNNNNNNNNNNNNNNNNNNNNNNNNNNNNNNNNNNNNNNNNNNNNNNNNNNNNNNNNNNNNNNNNNNNNNNNNNNNNNNNNNNNNNNNNNNNNNNNNNNNAUAUAUAUAUAUAUAUAUAUAUAUAUAUAUAUAUAUAUAUAUAUAUCAUUGUUGUAUUAUUAUAAUGUUUGAGUUUAAUUUUGGUUUAGGUUUUAUCCUACAAGAAUUGCAUCGAAGGCAAUCACAGCUACCAUCAAGCAACAAUUUGAUGAGCCAUGGCUAACAUGGGGAGAAAUCCCUAAGACAACUAGAGAUCUUUUCUUCGACCGUUUUAAGGUACACAGUUUUAUAAAUUAAGAUGUCAUUUAGUAGACAAAAUGCCAUCACCCAACUUCCAAAUCAUUUAUAGAAUGCAGGUUGAUAAGGAUUAAUCCUCAUUUGCAUUAAUAUGUCAUAUUGCUCUAUCUAUGAUACAUUGUUGAUUGAUUUGAUAUGUUAUUGAUUGAAUGGUUGAAUGUUCUGAUAUAAACGCUAAUAGGAUAUUAGAAUCAGGGGGAGAAGAAAAAUAUGUUAUUGCAUUUAUGGUGAUUGUUAUGUUAUCUGCAAUGAAAAUAGUCAUGUGAAAUAUGUAGAAAUUAGUACAUGAAUAUAAUAAAAUUAGAAUACAGUUUAUCUUUAUUGAAGUUUGGUUAGGUGUGGUGGAAAAAUAAGAUGAUGAAGAAGAACAUAAGGAANCUUUAUUGAAGUUUGGUUAGGUGUGGUGGAAAAAUAAGAUGAUGAAGAAGAACAUAAGGAAAAAUAAGAAUAUGGUUUAUCUUUAUAAAUACUAAUUUUAAGAUUAGCUCAGAUAAAAAAAACCAAAGGUUCGUUAGUCUGAGCAAGCUGUUAGGAAGAACCAUAAGGAAGACACUACAGUAGUGCGAAUAAUGAACCUCUGGAGGUUGCUUAUCAAAUUUUGAAUUCAUCUAAAUUACCACUAGUCCAAAGAAGCGUUGUUUGUUUUUAUUUAUCACCAAAAGUUAUAUUCAUUCCUGUGUAAAAUCUGACAUGAAGAAAAUGAAAAAGGUGUUAGGAAUAAUGUUUAAGAACUCAACCAACGGAAACAAAAUUCAAAAGAUGAGAACUAAGAUAUCAAAGUUUAUGAGAGGCCAAAAUCUAACCUAUGUUGUCAUGCAAACAAGCAAUGGGAGGAGGAGAACCAAAUCCCAUGAGGCUUAAAAAAUAAAGGACAUAAAAAGCUUUGGAUCAUAACUUAGUAUAAACGCCAGCAUUCCACGUCUAAGAUUUCGAAUGAUGAGAUCUAUACACAACUAGUUCCUGUAGAGAAAAGCUAAAUGUGAGUUUUCUUUCUUUUGGUAACUCAACCAUUGUUUAAGGCCUAGAGGGAUUAAAGAGUUUACCUUAGAAUAGCUUACUUGAUCAUGAUUCACUUUCGAAGAUUUCACUAUUGUUUCCCACUUAAUAUAGCUUGAUGCUCUACUAAAACCCUGUCUUUUAGACUUGGAUUAUGUACCUUGAUUUUUAUGAGGGAAUGAAUUCUUAGAAGAAACUAGAGGCAGGGCACGACAAAGCCAGGACUCAGAAGGUGAUUAUAUAAGGUAUUUUACCUUAUAUCUGAUAUAUUAUUGAUUAGCUUUCUUUUUUUACUAUACAUUUAGUCUUGAUCUAAAUAAUUAAUGCAAAAUUUAAUUUCUUGCAAAAAAUUCUUCCAUGUUGUGAGAUGUUUCCAUGCUCUCUGAUAUCCUGCUUUGACACAUAUAUGGUUUACAUCACUGAGUUAUGACUUAUGGAAGUCUUAUAUCAAUCAUGAUUGGUCUUGGAUAUAAUAACAUGCUUUCAUACUGAAUGACUUAUGUUAUAAAGAUUUUCAUCUUCAAUUCUAAUUAUUCAAGCCUAUUCUUUGUAAUAUAACAGAGAAAGGUUUCAUGGAAUGUUGAAGAUGAGCAAAAAGUACAAAAAAAAUUUCACACCAAGGCAUCUCAUAGACUCUCAGAGAUGUAUAAAAAAGCUAAAAGAGUAGAACAAAGACCUAAUUGGCUGGGGAUGAUACUUGGAAUGCUCUACUGGAAAAGUGGAACAUGCCACUUUAUAAAAAAAAGUGUGAAAUAGCUAAGAAGAAUCGGACAUCUGAAAAAGGUGGCUGUUUGCACACUAGAGGAUCUAUUAGCGUGCAUGAGCAUGCUAUUCGUUCGGUAUGUAACUUGUACAUUUUAUCUCUUAAAUUUGUAAUCAUUACCUUUAUAAGUAUUUAUUAACAACUCAUUUUGUUUGCAGUCACACGAGCUUGGUCGAUCUGUGCAUGUUGAUGAAAUAUUUCAACAAACACAUAUUCGUCAAUCUACAGGGGACUUUGUGGAUGAAAGGUCUAGGCGAACCCAUGUAAGUUUCUCUACUAACUCUAUCACAUUAUACAUUGUCGGUUUUCAAACCUUACGUGUACUGAUAAUAUUUAUUCCUUUAAUAGGAAAAAUUUCAAGCAAAAUUUUCUCAAAUCAGAUCUCAGACUGCAUCUGUUGGUGCCUCAGCAUGUAGUCCCCUAGACCCUGCGGAGGAGGAGAGAUUGAGAAACCAAUGUUGGUUAGAUGCUGCUGGUGGAAGAUACAAGGGACGUGUAUAUGGCAUUGGAAAUGUCAGUUCCCAAGAUGACUGUGUCGAUAGUUACAUCCGACAGACUCAGGCAUCUUCUUCCACUCAACAACCAAAUUCAGAAGAAAUUGAUAAUCUUAAAUCGCAGUUACAAAAAUAUGGCCAACAACUUCAAAUGGUUCAAGGCUUUAUUGGUGUCCUCCUCCCGUUCCUUCCACCUUCAACAGCCACAACUGCACAACAAUUUUUAAACUUUCAAAAUUCUCAAGGUCAAAAUGAAGCACCCAAUGACCAGCAAGCUCCAUAUCAGCAAGCUCCAGAUCAGCAAGCUCCAAACCAACAAACUACAAACCAGCAACCACCACCAGAAGAUGGAAAUGAUCAUAUGCAUUAGAUAUUUUAGUCCAGUGACCAUUGGCUUGCAAGAGUAAGCCUAGUGAGAAUUAAUUCAACUUGGAAUUCUAUUUUAGAUGGAUUCUACAAUUUAUGUCACUGUUAAAUACCAGUUCUGCAACUGAGUUCAUUACAACACUUAAUUUCAAAUCUGUUUUUACGUUCAACAGUACAUGUUAAUCACUAGAAAUUUGUUUCCAGCAUUUGAUUCCAUUUAUCGUUCAGAUUUGUAGCUUUGAUUUGAAUGUUGACUAGUGAUUUCUGCUUUUAAAUUCUAGUUCCAAUUACUAUUUUGCUACUGUUUCUGUAUUAUAUUCAUGCUUAUGGAUAAGAAUCCUAUUGUUGUUGCCCGAUAGUUAACAAUUCAAUUUGAGAAGCAAUAACAAUAGAGAGGCAUGCAUAAGGUUGAUGUGAAUGCUAUGAAUGGAGCAAACUUGUUUACUGAAAAUAUAAUUUGAUGAUUGGGAAUAAAAUUCUAUAUUAGAUAUGAUAAUGAAUGUCCAUGUCUCCUUAUUAUGCAUUGUGUUUAUGAAUUCUGGUUAUAAAUUGUGCUUAUAAAUUAUAAUGUUCAACAACUCAUUAAAUUUGUUUAUGAAUUGUGAUUCUGAAUUAUAAUGUUCAACAGGUGGAAUGAAAUGGGAAUGUUUAAUCUGGUGUAAACAUCUAAAAUCUUAUAUACGGAAGUAUCUGUAUAUAGGAAAUAUACGUAUACAGGUUAUAUACAGAAGUAUCCGUGUAUAAAUUAUAUACGGAAAUAUCCGUAGAUAAGUUAUAUAUGGAAUUAUCCAUAUAUAAGUUAUAUACGGAUAUUUCCGUAUAUAACUUAUUUACGGAUAUUUCCGUAUAUAACUUAUCUACGGAUAUUUCCGUAUAUAACUUAUAUACGGAUAAUUCCGUAUAUAAAUUUAGCUACGAGGGUAUUAUAUACGGAUUUUUGUCCGUAUAUAAUCCGUAUAUAACCAAAUUUUAUAUACAGAUUUUUCGGCUUAUAUACGGAUUUCGGCUGUAGAUAAUUGCAAUUUUUCUUGUAGUGAGAGGAGUAGAUAAGAGAGAGAGAAUUAGAUGAAAUUGUAAACCCCCAACAACUCCAUUCAUCUAUUGUUUUCUUUUUUCAAUUGAAUCAAUCUAUUUUGCAUGUUAAUAUUUUUGUUCACAAAUCAAUUUAUUAAUUUUUAUUUUCAAGUCUUAUUAUUUUAGUUCACGUGAACGAGAAAGCCAUUCGAGUCUCUUGGGAAGAACGAUAUUGGGUUUUACCAAUUAUAUUACUUGAAUGAUUUGGUACGCUUGCCAAUCCGUCAACAAGUUUUUGGCGCCGUUGCCAGGGACUCGAGGUUUAUUUUUCUAAUAGUGUGAACUAAUUGAAUUUGACUUGGUUGUAAUUAUUUUUGUUUUAUUUUUAUUUAAUUGCGUUUUAUUUUAUUUUUCUAUAAAAGUGCUUUUAGGGUGUGUUUCUUGUGUAUGCAGUAAACGAUACAUACUAGAAGCAGGAAAAACCAACAACCUCUGUUACAAGGUCUAGCAUACGAGAGGAGAAAGAGACGUUCUUCAUGUGAGAGAUCUCCUUAUACAGAAGUUAUUUUGUAGACUUCGCGUGAGACUUUUGCACCAUAUCUUGAGGAGAUGGCCAACCAACCUCCUCCUAGACGUACUUUGGGGGACGCAGCAAAUGCAGUAGGCCCCUAAAAUUUCAACAGCAUAGCGGUUCCAAGUGACAACGCAACCAGCAUGGUGAUGAGUCCGGCGCUCAUCCAGUUAGUCGAGAACAACCAAUUCCAUGGACUGUCAAAUGAAAAUCCUUACAAGCAUUUGACUAUUUUUUGUAGUGUCAAUACUCCAAAAUCACCAGGUGUAUAAGAUGUGAAGAACUCCUUCCUGGAUGUAACAUGCAGUGUAGCACCACUAUCAAUUAUCCACAUGCUCUCAUCAGAUACAAGAUUAAAAGUGUCAUAAUCACGAAGACAAACAAGGUCACCACAUGUAGUAGUAGUAACACGAUCACCAUCAUCAUUAUCUUUUUCUCUUUGCUUACCCUUUUUGUCUUUGUUCUCUUUCUUCCCCAAAAAACAGUUCUUCUUUAUAUGCCCUGUUUUUUGACAAUAGUGACACUCCACAUUCUUGUACCGAGAGUUGGACUUGCUCGUGCUUUUAUCUCUACCACUGCUUUGUUCUUUCUUCUGGCUUCUCCCCCUGUUCUCUGUAAUAAAAACUUCUGAAUGAGAUGAAGUACCAUGUGUCUUCCUUCUCAUCUCCUCAUUAAGAGCACCACUCUUUGCCAUUUUCAAAGAAAUAUCACCAUUAGGGGUAGCACUUAUCAUGGAAACCCAAAAUAUCUCCCACGAAUCUGGUAAAGAGUUUAAUAGGAAUAAUCCCAAUAGAUCAUCAUCAAAUUUUAUACCCAAUCCAGCUAAUUGAUCAUAGCGUUCUUGAAAUUCACUCAAGUGAUUUGAAAUAGGAGUUCCUUCCUUGUACUUCAACUCCACAAAAUUUUUCAGCAAGUACAAUUUAUUAGUCCCUAACUUAGAGGCAUACAAGGACUCAAACUAAUCCCAUAAGCUUCUCGCAUGUGUCUCAUUAGCAAUAAAAUUAUAAACAUUGUCAUCAACAAACUGUCUGAUAAAUCCACAUAUCUGUUGAUGUUCAAAAUCUCAUUCUUCAUCUGACUUGGAUUUCGGCUUAUAGGAAGCAAAAACAGGAGGAUGCAAAUUUUUCACAAACAUCAAAUCCUUCAUCUUGCCUUUUGCAUAAGUAAUAAUUUUCUCCAUUCAAAGGAAUCAAUUUUGUAUGUGCCUCCAUCAUUCACGCAAAUUAAACAACCCCUUAACCUAAGAGCUCUAAUACCACUCUGAUGAGGGAAAGGGCCAAAACAAAUAUAACAACUUGGCAAAGAGUAAUAAUGCAGCGGAAAUUCAAUCCCCCUUCUUGCGAGAAUCUGCGAGGAGCACCAAACAAAUAAAACAAAAAUAGAAUCUAAAGCACAAAGAGACACCAUCAAUUUUUAAUGUGAAAAACCCCUCAAUGUAAGGGUAAAAACCACGAGUCGUCCAGACCAAAGAAAAAUCCACUAUGAUCAAUAAUAGGGUACAAAAGAGUCUCCCAUAAUAAUACCAAAAGGUAUUUUCAAUAAGCCAAAUUAACUAAGCACAAAUGCUUACAAAUGAGAACAAAGAAGAUGAAAAUUCUCCAAAAUAGGGUUGCUGUUGCAGGAUCGAUUUCUCCCAAAACUAGACCUCCGAUUGAAGAUCCGAACGGUCAAAUUGAAGAACGAUAUGUCUGGAACCUACUGUCUAAAAAUCAGCUCGAUCCAACGGUUAACAACUUCACAGCGUCAAAAACACCAGUGCAGGUUUAGGUUUAUGCGGGAAUGACUUUUGCCUCUCUUCAAAUGACUCACUUGUGCUCUAGUAAUCUGACCCAUCUCAUUUUGACCUAAUAAGAUAUAAUGGACCAUAAUAUUUAGACCUAUUCUCCACAUAAGAAGGCAGCCCAAUAACCCAACAUUUAGUUUUUUACACUAUUUUAUUAUUUCAUGUUUGGUAAUAACAUUUGUUUCAAUUAUUCGUUUUUAGAUUUUCAUUUUUGUAAGGCGGUGUUGUGUUGGUGGAGCAUUUCGCUCGCGAUGGACAAGUUUAACGCGCGUUGCCAUUAAAGCUAUGUUCCGGGAGUUCUCGAAGCUGUGAUGUUUCUACAGAAAGGUGAAAAUACACUAAAAUUUCCGUAUUGAGUGAACAUAACAUAUUCUUGUGUGUUUUUGUUAUUCUUGAUUCUUGUUUGUUUUGUUAUUCUCGUAUUAUCCACGUGAACUGAUUUUUUUUUCUCUACAAUGUAUUAUAGUCAUAUAAGGUGUCCAGAACUAAGGAUCUGAAAAUUAUGACUUGCAUUAAUAUCUUUUCAGGUUGUGGAAAAUGAAAUUUUAUACACAAUUUCACUUAAGGGCCAGAAGACAGGAUUUUAUGCAGAUCAGCGUGAGAAUCGACAGUUUAUAUCAACAAUUUCAGAUGGUUUAAAGGUUCUUGAUCUUUGCUGCUAUAGUGGUGGUUUUGCUCUAAAUGUCGUGCGUGGAGGUGCUUAAAUGUCACUGGUAGGUUAUAUAUUUUUAGUUCUCAUUUUUUUUUCUAAUAAUUAUCACUUCUUACAAUUGACAUCAUAAUACUGUUGGAUUUGGUUUUAUGAAAAUUCUCUUCCAAAUUAGAGUUAAAUUUUACAAAAGUUUUUUUUUUCAAUCUUUUUAAAGAGCUUUUAUUUGCUUUUCUCUUCCAAAUGUGUAACUCUUGCUCCUGCUACUUCAUCCUUUAUAAUUAAUGUGAUAUGUUGGAGCAAGUGAAGUUUGCUAAAAGAUAGGACUUAUGGUGCCUGCUGAAAGUGAUGCAGAAAUGUUGGAGUCGAAAUAUAAUUCUGUCAAGCAAUAUCUUGUUAAGAGGGACUCUCAUAUUUGCACUGCAUAUGAUAAAUUCAAUGAUUAUUUUGUUAUUUCAUAACUUUAUAUUCCUUUCUUUGAAUCUUGCAGUUUUGUUCUUUGUUAUUGUAUCAGUGCAAUUUUUAUUUUGAAUACAUGUUCAUUAAUUUUUAUUUCAAAACUGUAUGUUCAUUUUUUAUUUGAUUUUAAUUUAUUUACUUAUUGAUUUAUUAGUUGUUUAUUAGUUACAACUUUUCUCUCUUUAGGGUUCCAGAGGAAGAGUUUGAAGGCUUUCAAGACUCAUAAUUUAUUGACUAUUAGUAAGUAUAUGACAAUAGAUUCCAUUGACUUGUAAGUAUAAAUAUGAUUAACUUAUUCUCAUUAGAACAUGUUGAAUUAGUUAUAUAAUCAUGUACAUUAGCAUUGUAAAAGAAUAGAUAAAAAUGAUAAUAUAUAUUUAUAAAUAUUUUUAAAAANUUUCAGUCCUUACACAAUGAGUAAGCAUACCUUAAUAAACCUCUGCACUCAACGUCCUAAAAAUGCACUAAAGCUUUCCACACCAACCAAAUCACACCCCCAUUUUGUGCCGACAAUAACAAACAAGAAAAGGGUUUAGGAUUUUGACAUUUUACAAAUUAAAUUAUUUAGGAAAAUAACNAAAUUUACUUACCAGAACAAUCACUCAGGAAAUCUACAACAACGAACACUAAAAGAUGGCACCACAACCGAACUUCUUCUUUGUGGAUCAACGCAACAUUAAACCACUAAACACCGAAUGAAUAAACAUAUAUAUUAAAGGAACAACAUUCUUGACUCACCACAAACUCACCGAGAUUGAACGACGCUGGAAUUUACCUCGGAGUGCGAGAACUGGAGCCCUAGGGUUCGAGUGUGAGAACAGUCCAGAUUGAACGACGCUGACCGAGAUUGUUUGGCCUUGGCGACGAUAAGGAAAAACCCUCGAACAGGGUUCGAUAGAACUGCGGCUUUGACAGAACCCAAGCCUCGCGACUGACAGCUCCAAAGAAGAGAGGUUGGAGAACAAAGGUGAGUGAAGGUAUGAUAGUGUUUGAUGAAGGGCUCGAGAAAGACAGAACAAAGCUUCAAGGGAAGGGUUCCAGAGACAUGGGCCUGAGAGAAGAAGCUUCGAGGGUUAGACAGGCUCGAGAGAAGAUAGUUCAAGGGUUCGAGACAAAGAGGGGAAAAGGCAGAUCCAGCAUCCAAUAAUUCAGAAAAUUAUUUUUUUAAAAAAAAAAAUUUCACAUCCGUAUAUAAUGUCCGCAGUUAACUACUUCGUUGUAACUGCAUACGGAUAAUAAACUUUAUAUACGGAUAACUCCUUGGGUAAUUUUCCCGCCACCACGCACCAACAUUAUAUACGGAAUUUAUAUACGGACAAAUUUCGUAUAUAAAUAUCCGUAUAUAAAUCCGUAUAUAACACCUUCUCUUUAGUCCGUACAUAAAUUCCGUAUAUAAUUCCUGCUUUAUAUACGGAUUUAAAUCCGUAUAUAAUAUUCCGUAUGUAAUUUCAUUAUUUCUUGUAGUGUAUAAUGAUAAGAAAAUUGUAUUUAUAAAUUUUUCAUUUGUAAAUGUACAAGUUUAACUCGGCCCAAUGUUAUUUAUAUAUCUAAAAGUAAUUAUGUUAUCAUUUUUCUCAAAUAUUAAAAAAUAAUGUUGUUAUUUAAUAUAUAUAUAUAUAUAUAUAUAUAUAUAUAUAUAUAUAUAUAUAUAUAUAUAUAUAUAUAUCAAUUACUAUUUAAUAAAAUAUCAACAUUACUGUUAAUAUAUUUGUAGUCUAAAAGUCUAUAAAUAUGAUGACAUGUCUUCUAGUUAUAGUCAAGCAUCUAUAAUAAAGUCGAAGUCAUCUAUGAGAUGGUUUAAACUUUAUUUUUUGGAUCGUCUUUAAAGUCAUCAUGGAACAUAAAUUAGAGUAGUAUAUGUUUUUUUAGGUCAUGUAUUUUGGUCAAAAAGUGUAGGUUUCUUUAGGCCAUGUAUUUCAGCCAAGUAGAUAGGUUUAUUUAUGGCUUGUAUUAAAGCUUAAUUAGUAUAGGAUUUUUCCUUAAGCUAGAUAUCUAAAUCAUAUGGAAAGUAUGUGUCAUGUGUCAUGCUUCCAAUGGAGAGAAUUUAGCUUUAGUAGUGGCCACAUGACACUCUAGGAAUGGAGAGGAUUUUACUUUAUGAGUGGUCACAUGUCCUUCCCUCAUUGGAGAGGAUUUAUGGACACUUGUCCACUCCUUAGAAGGUCUCAUUUUUUGCCAAUGAGUGCAAAGGUGGGAGAUCAUGCUUUUAGGGUUUUUAGAAAACAUCAUUGCCUAUAUAUAGAGGUGUCUCCUCUCUUGUAAUCAUAUUUGAUGUUGAGUAAUGUUAUGCUACCCAUUUUUUGCCAUACUACUCCAUAAAUCAAGACUGGACCAACCUAUGAGGCGCCUCUAGUCACCUUCGUCUUAGAGUUGUCCUAACCUCUCCAUGAGCAUCACUAAACAAUACCUCUUUCACCAUAAACAUCACAACUGUGAGUUUAACUCCCUUGUCCAUCAAAGCUUCUGUGCCCAUCAUCCAUUCACCCACUUCAAUGGCUUUCCUUCAAGUUUUGGCCUAACCUAGCCAAGGAGGUUGCUAUCAUUUGGUAUCAAGAGCUUGGUUCUUCAAGAGCUAAGUACUUUGGUCCUUAUCUAUUCUUUAUUGUUUCGUGUUGUUGAUGUUAUUUCCUUACUUGUCUUGUAUUUUUCCAUUUAUCACUUGUUCUAGCAGUAAACUGUUAAGAUUUUGAAAGUUAAACUGCAUCUAGCUUAGAGGUCCAAAAAAUACGUAUUAAUAGUCAAAUUAAAGCUCAUUGAGUCUAGUUUCCAACACAUAAAAAUCAUUUCAUUUGGAGUUCUAUGAAGAAAGUUAUUAGUAAAACACUCAGCAAAGGUCAGAGCUACCAGAAUGUUAUCAUCAGCAUUUUUCAGGUUCUGCUUUGGUAGUUUUGGCUAAUGUUUUGUACCUUCUAAAUGCUCCUAAAUGUUUUGGGAUAUCAUGUUCUUAGUUUUUAUAGAGUCUUUAUUCAUCUUUUGAUUUGGUCAUUUUUAUUUCAAAUCCAUUCAUGUUGUCUAGAGUCAUGUGUAGUCAUUUUGAUGUCUUUACUUCCUAGUUGAACUUUGAAAAAUUACAAAAAAAAAAAAAAACUUUCUAUGUAGUGUUUUCCAAAAUUGUUUUAUGUGUGUGCCUUUGACUAUUUUUAUGUUACACAUUUGAAUUCAUACCUAUUGCUAGACCAUCAACAAGUUCCUAAAGUUAGGUUUCCUAUAUGUCACUUUUUAGUUUCAUUUUGAUUGUAAUAGGAUUUUUACCAUAUGGUAUAUUGUGAAUCUUUGAACUUUUCUCAAUUUAUCAUUAAACCAUCUUUCAUAAUUCAAACUUAACUUUUGAAAAAAUUUCAACUUCUUUAUCACCUCGCAUUAUUUUUAACUCUUCAAAUUUUUCAAAAUCAAACUUUGAGUUGAUGUUACCUUCUAAGAUACAAUUAACUCAAAGUAUACACAAACAAUUUUGUGGAGUAGACCUUCAAAGUUUUCAAGUAAAUUCUUUUGAAAUUAACAUAAGGUCUUCUUCAAAUCUUUCAUCUAGAUACAUAUUGUUUGUGGCACAUAACAUUAUUGGAUUUGUGUUUGAUGACACUUGCAUAUGGAUCUUUGAUCCUGGUGGAAAGUUACAUAAAUAAACCAAUAAAAAGAAAAGGGUUUUUGUCAUAAAAGAACAUGAAGAUUUCAGGACAAAUCGUUUUCAGAAUGAAGGGUAUGAUGACAUAUCGCUAGUACAAAAAUCGCGUACAACGUCGGAGAUUUUGGAUUUUUAAUGGCGAAUUCGCGAACGACGUCAUAUCAGGAGACGUUAAAUUGACGUCGAAUUUUAAAAAAUUUGAUGUUAAAUUAACGUCAAAUUUCGUCAAUAUACGACGUUAAUUUAACGUCGAAUUUUGUCAAUAUACGAUGUUAAUCAAUUUUGUUUUAAUUAAUUGUGAUCCUUUUUUAUAAUUUUACGAGACCUGAAAAAUAGAAAAAUAACAAAUUUCAGUGUUUUGUAUUUUAUAAAGCAUGAACUAUGAAAUAUCAACAACAAAUAACAAUAACCAACAACAAACAAGUUCAACCAAACAACAACAACAAACAAGUUCAACCAAACAACAACAAACAAGUUCAACAAAAAAACAACAAACAAGUUUAACAAAUAAGUUCUUCAAAACGAAAAUGAAAACUAACCUUCAAAAGGUGGGUUCAUCGGAAUAAAGUGUCAUCACCAGUGAGAGAGAAAGCAUAACACGCCUAUGAAGGACAAGAGCACGAAAAUAAUCAGUCAAAACAAAGGAAAAUCAUACAUAAAGUAGUUAAUUAACAUGCAUUUUUGUCAAAUGAAAGAAAGAUUACCUGUGAUGGUCAUCAAACUUCGUUCGAGAAAAGUUUGAGAAGAGAAGAGGGUCUCGCGCGCUAAGUUAAAGUGAAUAAGUUUUCAAUCUCCCGCCCAAAUUUUUAUUGAAUUCACUAACCUUUUAACGUCUAACACUGGGGCAUUCAACGUUUUAUAUCAUUUUACGUCGAAUUAUAAUUAUAAACGAUGUUUAAUAAUUGCAUUUAUUUAAAAAAAUGUCACCGAUCAUUUUUAAAGUUGGCUAUUCAGUGAUUGAACGUUGAACGCGUGACAUUAUAUGCUGAUUUUGCACUAAUGUAUCCCUAAACAUUGAAUCUUGUGUUUGAAUGGAGAAGAGUCUUUGAAACACAUACAUCUAACACAAGACAAAUAAAAGCUUUAAAGAUGCUCCUACUCUCCAAGACCUUGAUCAUUCAUUUGAUUUAAGAUGUAUCAUUCUUCAUUUACUCACUAUCAUAACACUUGUUAUAACUUGUGCUAUAAGAUGGGUAUUUGACCCAACGGAAAAGAGACAUGAUGACUCCAAAGAAGAUGAGGAAGUUUGUCUUAGACCCAAGUUGAAGAUUUGAGGCAAAUCAUUUUCAAGAGCGGGGAGAUGAUAGCAUACCCUCUACCCAUGGUUAAGCAUCUAGAAGAAGAGUUUAAGUCAUCCAUGAAGAUAGUUUAAACUCUACAUUUUGGACCGCCUUUAGAGCCAUCAUGAAGCAUAGCUUGGAGUAGUAUAAGUUUCUUUAGGCCAUGUAUUUUGGCCAAGUAGUGUAGGUUUCUUUAGGCCAUGUAUUUCGGCCAAGUAGGUUGGUUUGUUUAAGGCUUUUAUUAAAGCCUAAUUAUUAUAAGGUUUUCCGUUAAGCUAGAUAUCUAAACCAUAUGGAAAGUAUGUGUCAUGUGUCAUGCUUCCAAUAAAGAGGAUUUAGCUUUAGUAGUGGCUACAUGACACUCUAGGAAUGAAGAGGAUUUUUCUUUAUGAGUGUUCACAUGUCCUCCUCUCAUUGGAGAGGAUUUAUGGACACUUGCCCACUCCUUAGAAGGCCUCAUUUUUAGCCAAUGAGUGCAAAGGUGGGAGACCAUGCUUUUAGAGUUUUUAGGAGACACCAUUGCCUAUAUAUAGAGGUGUCUCCUCUCUUGUAAUCAUCUUUGAUGUAGAGUAAUGUUAUGUUGCCCAUUGUUGGACAUAUUGCUUAUCUUAGAUCAAGACUAGAGCAACUCAUGAGGCCCCUCUAGUCACAUUCCUCUUAGAGUUGGUAUAACCUCUCUUAGAGUCUUCAAACAUCACACCACCAUCAGUUAACCACCAUAUGGUCGUGAGCUUCUAGUCUCACAAACACCACAGCUUUUGCAUUUCUAGCCCUUUAUCCUUAAUGAUCCACCAUAUUUUCGCAUCAUAUAUUUUUAAGGAACUAUCUCCAUGACAUUCUUUUAGCUUUGAUCCAACCUAACCAAAGAAGAUAUUAUCAAAAUAUCUACAUGUGAAGUAGACAAAAUAUUCGUCUAUCAUACUCAACUCUCUCAUCUUAUAUUAUUUAGAUUUUAAACUCUUAAUAAGUUGACUGUCAAAUAAUUGUUUCUAUUUAUUUUUGGAGCACAAUAGUUUUCUUACUUCUCUAUGUCUCAUAUUCCAAAUUUGAUAAAAGUAGUAUUAUUUAAUAACUACUAUUUUAUUAAGUCUUAGUUCAAGGGAUAACAAAGUCAACCACAGAAGGUGAUUAAAAUUUUAUAAUAUAGUAUUUAUAGAUUUGUUCAUGUUUAAAAUAAAUUAAAACUUUUAUAAACAAAAGUUAUAAAAUCACGAGACUUAAAUAAUUAAAAUAAGUCAAGUAUUUUGCCUAGUGAAAUUUCCUUGAGCAAAAAAUAUAAUUAAGUUUUCUGCAAUAUGAUUUUUAUUGAAAAAUUAUUCUAUUGAGCGUAAUUUCACGGGGUCUUCAUUGUUGAAUUUCCUAAACAAUAAAUCCCAUUGUGUAUUUUAUAGCAUAAUCAUCAACCCUGCUGUGACAUUUCGAUGAGUAAAAAAUUAUUACACUCAAUGGAUUAUUGAAAAAUAAUAGCAUCUAACACAUCUUAUUUAACCUACCUAUCACAUUGUCUUCAAACUAAUAACAUUUUUAUAUAACAAACUCAACACCAAUAUUUUUUAUGAUAAAUUCAUAUUUAAAUCUAACUUUUUUUUAUGAUAAAUUCAUAUUUAAAUUUAACUAAGACAUUUGAUUUUAUUGAAAUGUUAAAAGUUUACGGCAAGUAAUAAGAUUGAUAGUUCAAAUGUUUUUAUGAUAAGAGAACUAUUUUAUAAAUAUAAAUAAUUGUUAAGUAUUUAUUAAAUAAAACUAUUUACAUUUAUAAGAUUGAUAUAGAUAAUAAACUUAUGUUAUUAUUGAAAAAUAAUUACUUUACAUAUAUAAUAACAUACUAGUUAAUUUAUAAUAAAAUGAUCUUUAAGAUUAGUUAUGAUAAUUUAAUAUUGUCUUGAUAAAUAAAAGUUUAGUAUCUCUUAUAAUAAAAGACUUAACAAAUCUUAUUGGAUGAUAUUUAUUUAAUCAAGUAAAGAAUUAGAAUGAUUGAAAUCCUUUUGAUUAUCUUACAUACCGAUCCAUUCUUUUAUUUGAAGAUGAGCAGCUAAUUAUUCAAUAUUCAUAUAAUCUUUAUUAUGUUUUAGAAAAUUUUUAACAUCUUUCCAAUUUAAUGGUAGUUUGUCAAUUAUAGAAGAAACAAUUAAUGUCUCAUCCAUUACAAUAUUAUGUUGCUUGAAACUUCUUAUUUUUUUGGAUUUCAUGAAAUUGUUUCAUUAUUGGUCUAACAUCAAUCAUUUUGUAAUUAUUAAAAUUACUAACCAAGAAUUUCUUGCUUGAUGCAUCUUCAGAAAUGUAUUUGCUUUCAAGUUGAUCCCAAAGUUCUUUUGCAGAAUCCACAUAUUGAUAUAUGUCAAAUAAAGGAUCAGAUAUACCGUUCAAAAUGUGACCACGACAGACAUAAUCAUCAUUCUCCCAUUUGUUCCUUUUUCGUGGUUCCCUCAAUGUCUCGGUUUCGCUUUCUUUGGGUUAUUAGACUUGAUAUAAUCUUCUAGCCUUGAACGCUCAUUUUCCUAAAAGCACUAUUUCGUUCCUUAUAAGAGUGAAAGGGAUCACGAAAUCUACUUUUGAGAUACAAAGAAGAAAUACAACGAUAAUACUCACUCUUUGUGAUAAUACUCACUCUUAGUGUUAAUGUCAAACAAGAAUAAAAUUAUCACGAAUUGAUUUGUGUGUUAAGUGAAUGACAAAAUAUAAAAAAAAAAAAAAAAAAGUCUCACAUUUCAAUAGAGAUUCCUUUAUAUAAAUGUUGAUUGGAUAUAUUUCAAAUCCAAAAUAUCAUAUUCUAAUUAGUUAUGUUUUUUGAUUCUAACUUUUAAUGAAUGAUUAUUACUUUUCAUAAAUAAUAAUUUUAACUCUUCAUUAAUGAAUCUGAAAAUAUAAUUUGUAGACCUAAUUAGAUUUUAUAUAGGCCACAGGACAACAAGCCUUUUUGGCCCAUUUUAAAAGAAUAAUUUUAAAUUCAAAAGUUAAACAGAAUAUACAUGUAUGAUAUCUUUAGGACAAAUUAAUGAAAUUAAUUUUAGUUUGAGAGAUAGUAAUUAUAUAUAUAUAUAUAUAUAUAUAUAUAUAUAUAUAUAAUAAUCUUAUUUUAAAUUUUUAAAAUUAUCCUUUUGAAUAGGAGUUCGACCUAUCACCUAGCAACUGAGUCAAUCCAAUUCCAUCAGUGUUAUCAAGCUGAUAUAAUUGUGUUCAAUGUCACAAUUGUUCAACUUUGGUCCAAACUAUUUUAUAAGAUAUUUCAAGUUGGUCCAACAUACCAAUACCUUAAGAUUUUAAUAAAGUUCUUUUAUAUUUUCUAAUACAUAAAUUUGUUAAAAAAAUGUAGAUGAUUCAUAUCAGCAAGUUGGUAAUGUAUUGUUAGUAUCCUGUGUCUAAGGUGGUAUUUUUAACUAUAUUAAUCUUUUUAGGUUAAAUAAAUUUUUUUAUCGAUUUUUUUAAUUUCAUUUAAUUAUUUUUUAAUAUUAUUGAUAUAGUUUUUUUCAUCAAUAUUAUUGAAAUAAAUAUCUAUUUUAUUAUUUUAAUAUGUCUGUGAUGUUGUCAUUAUGGGUCCGCACCUGUCGAGAAAAGAACAACUGCAAUUAAUAAGAUUGCACUCACUAUCCUCUUGGUGAUAAGGUGUGUGCGUGUCAGUGUGCCACUCUUGUGUGUCUGAUCAUUUAACUCUUUUUCAAGCGUGUCACGUGCUUAUUUUACUCCAUGUGAUGUAAUAAGGUUAGUCACGUGAUACUUCCAUCAGGCCCAUCAUGUACCCCUCUCCAUGUGAUCCAACAACUCCAAGUUCACCCUUGAAUAAGGUGCCUGUCCCCAAAGCAAAUAAUUUUAAACCCUAAAAAUAACUAGCCAAAAACUUAUCACUAGCAGUAAUACCUAACAUAGUAAAAUGUUAUAAUUAAUAUUAAAGUGACUGCAUCGUAAUGACAACCUAAAUAUUUAAGUAUGCAAUGUAUGUAGUAAAAGAUCCCUCGGCUAAUUACACUUUUUCUUAUUAAAUUAUUUAACAAGAUUACACGAUAUCGUUUAUUAGGUAUUGAGUAUCGAUAGUUUUAGAUGUUCUAUAAGAAUAGAUCACUUAGCUGGACACUCAAUUAUGAGUAUUAGGUACUAUGUUUCAUUUCUACAUCAUGAAGGCUUAAAUUUAUUUUUUAUAAUAACGUUGUUCAUUUAAGUCAAUGAUACCGAAUAUGGGUAUUGUAAUAUAGAUGGCUCAAAUCGAUCGGGGUCACGAAGAGGAAGAUCGGGAAUGAGUUAAUGCCGAUAGGGAGAAAUACGCUCAUAGAGGAUAGCUGGUGACCUAUGUAAAGACUACAAGAAAAAGGUCAGAAGAGUUUGGUAGAUCGGGAGAUAGGCCAAGAAGAUCGGGGUGAGGAUUAUACCGAAGAAGUAGCGAUANCAACUUUGAAUAAAUUAGUAUUUAUAAAAUCUAUUUGCUUAAAAAAGUGAUUUAUAAAAGCUUCCUAGCUAUACGUGAAAGAUCACAUAUAGCAUACCAUAACAUAUAUUAUUAUAUAAUGAUUAAACGUAUNUUCUCAUCUAGGAUUGUAUCUCAACAAAGAUUAGUAUUUACAAAAUCUUUCAUUGGCAUAUAUUAUAGCAUAGAAGUUCAUAUCAUGAUUCUGAUUAACUCAUCUUUUCUAUGGAUAGUUCUUGUUGGGCAUAUAGUGGUUGUAAACCUUCUAUAUGAUCUAAUGAUAUUGUUUUUUUCUUACUAUUGUUUUACNUUUUAUUAUCUUUCUAUGUUAACAAUUUUAAUUUCAUGGAUUAUACAUUAUGGUGUAAGUUUGUCCAUUGCAUCAAUUAUUUCCUAAUUUAUCAUGGUUUUUGUAGUAGUGUGUUUAUAUAAGUUUCCUGUGUCUGCUUAUCUCUCUAUUUAUGUCUACAAUAGGCUAUGAUAAGUUCUCCUAUAGGAGGAUAAUUUUUGACAGAAUGCUUGACGAGAAGCUUGGAAGCCAAAGAUAUCACAGUGAGUGACGAAAACGAGCUAUUUUAAUCUUUUUUAUGAUCAUCUCAAAUAAAGUAGCUAUAUUAUAUUUACAUUUUGUUUAGCCAACACCUCAAUAUUCAUUCAAGAAAAAGGAAAUAAGUCCUGGGAAUCUUCAGGUAUUUUUAAUUCUUUUUCCCUUGAGUUUUGAAGUUUACAAUGUCGGGGGUGUUAACCUUGAGGUGUUGUAUUCCUUUUUCAUNUUUUCAAGCCUUAUGCCCACUCUUGAUCUAGAACUUUAUCUACCAAUUAAUUAUUCAAGUUUGAUAAGAAUGACAGUCUUGGUUGUAUUUUUCUUUCUUGCGAAUUCAUAUCUUUAUGACUUUGUGUUUUUUUCUGAUUCAUAAAUAUUAGACCUUGAUUUUCCACAUACAACAGAAGGCUACAAACUCUAUUGCCAGGUAUGUAUUCCGCCCAUAUUUUCUUUUCAUGUCUUUAUCUCCAUUCCUCGCUGAUUCAUUGUGAUAAAGGGUUAUUAUCGAAGACAUCAAGGAAUGUGUUUNCCGAACACCAGAUUCUCCAUAUGAUCGUUUGUAUCCUAAUUGUAGUUUCACAUAAUGUUUUGACUUUUUGAGCCUUCUUGGUCUAGUUGUAUUCAUGGAAGCACAUGCACAUGCAUAUCAUGAGUACAUAAUGAAGCACAUGCGCACCAUUAUUUGUACAAACAUUACUGAUUCAUGGAAUAAGGUAUUAAAAAACUAACUAAAUACUUAUCAAGUUGUUCAAUACAAAAUUGUUGUGUAAAUCUUUAAUGAUUCAUCUCCAAUAGAAGCUCCAAAGACAUUAGAACUAAGUGGGCUUCUUUUAUUUUAAGUGUUAGUAAAUUGUAGAAACUUGAAUACAAUGUAGUGUAGGUUAAUGUUAUAUUUGGAUUUAAUAUAUGGUUUGAUGUAUAAAUUAUAUAUGUAUUAAAUAUUAUUAGACAAUUUAAUGUUUGAAAUGAAUUUCAUUAUGUUAGUUUUGAAUAUGUUCAUUUCAUGUUAUAUUGAUUAUAAAUUGAUUGAUGAGAUGAUAAUACAUGAAAUUAUUUGUAAAUUGAUUGGAUAUGUCAAAUGUAAUGAAUUUUUUUUUUACAAAACAAAUUUUUAUGAUAGGUGAACAAUGUAUGUAAUAAAAGCUUAUUUAUGAAAAGUAUAUAUUAUGAUAGGUGAACAAUUACUUAUCAUAAUAUAUUCGCCAAGGAUGUCAUUUUGAUGUGAAUGGCCACUCCAUUUGGGUUCCUGUGAAAGUAUCCUCCAGGUACAUACAACACCCUCUCAAUAUCCUAAUAAUCUGAAAACUCCCCUAUGUUCAGCGCAUACUGGCACUGCACACCAGCCCACUCAGUGCCCCAGAAGUUGUUAAUAGUCCUAGGGUCAUAUCUGAUAAUCUCCCUUCGCACAUAACUAGUGUACCUCUCCAUCUGCACUCCUCUGGAUAAGGCAUUAGUGUAAAACUCCUUCACAACCUCAAUAUUAGCUAGCACAGGAUAUGUAGCCAGCUUCUCCCAGUUCCUGUUUCCAAGCUCCGCUCGAAACUGAGGAGCCAGGUCUAGAAUCCAAAUGGUCGUCCUCUCCAUCAGUAAUCUCCUUUCUUGCACAAUCAGGAAAUGCUCCUCAUGUUUCCUAGAGAGGAACCUGUAAGAAUAAAAUCUUCGUGGCCUCUCCGACUCUUUUCUCUUGUUUCCCAUAGUCUUCACUCUCCUUAAAGAUGAUGUCAUUCCUACAUCAAAUACAAUUCAAAAGAAAAAGGAAAUUCACCAUUAAGGGUUAGAAAACCAUCAAACAUACACCAAUAAAACAUUGUCCAGUGCUCAGGGCAAAACAAGACCCCUCAACGCCACCCGCAUCACAAAACAAUGCCAAAAACAAAAUCUGCUGCCCACUGCUCAGCGGUGGCGUCGGGAUUUUUUCAAAACCUAGCCUAACCCACUCUAAUCUCCACUCAAUCACAAAUAACUCAGUUCCAGACAAAAAUCAUGCAAUUUAAUUGGUGCAAAAUAUUUCUAUUUCAUCAAAUCAUGCAUCAAAAUCAAAAGCCCUAAUCUACACAAGUUCUUCACCAAUAUUUAAUUCUAGAAACCCUAAGAAUGAAAUUGCUUGACUUACUUAAAUGGAGAUACUCUAGAUGCUUGUAAAUAUUUCGUGAAUGAUGAUGGAUGCUUCUUCAAUGCGAUGCUCUCACCAAAAACCCCAAACUUUGUCAAUGGAAUGGGUGAAAAGUGAAGAACUAUGAGAUUAUGGUGAGUGGAUGAUGAGAAAAGUGAAGGAAAACCUUUAUAAUGCUCUUGAAAGUAAAAGCAAAGUGCUAGGCUCUGUAGAGAAUGCUUGGGUAAACCCUAGGGAGGUUUUAAAAGUGUACAAAUGGGCCUCCAACGCUGAGCUUUUAAAAAGCCCAUGUUGCAGUCUGCAACGCCACCGCUGAGCGAUCAAAUGAGCGCUCAGCGGUGGGCGUUAAAAAUUUCUCCCCCCAUUUUGGCUUGCCAUCACGUUUUAGAACCUAUAAAACUUGAUUUCAACUUUCAAUUUUCAAUUUAAUGCACUUCCCCUCUCUUAUGCAAGACUUAAACCCUAUAAUGCAACUAAAAGAGAGUUAAAAAUAAGAAAAUAAUCAACUGGGUUGCCUCUUAGGUAGUGCUUGUUUAACGUCACGAGCCUGACCCAACCUUUUCUAGCACUCAUCAGUAAGUGCUUCCCAACACCCCUCAGUAGGUGUACUUACCUAUAUCCUUCAAUAAAUACAUAAUUACUUGGCAUCCCUCAGUAGAUGCUACCCAAGAAUUGCUCAAAAAUCCAAAAAUUACAUGUCCAAAUAAUAAAAUAAUGAAAAUAAUGUUUUACAACAACUGGGAUAUCUCCCAAUAAACUCAUGUCUUCUCGCCUACGUUGGUGUCUUCAUCCCACCAACUAAUCAGCUGCCUCCUAUCCACCUCCUUGACUAUUCUGGAGUAUGGUCUUUCAAUCUCCACUACUCCUUUCUCUUUAAGCUCUUUCACUAACCAUUCUUUCUCCUUGUAUUUUGAUAACAGUUGAAAAACUGUUAUUUUCAUACUUAAUUUUGAUAUUAAACCACACCUUUUAUGGCUUAGAAUUAGCUUGAAAUCAUGCAUUUUUAUCAAGUUAGAGAAUAAGAGAGUUAAAGUUGGUUUUCUUUGUUUUAUGCUUGGUUUCCCUUGAUUUUUGUAGGUUUUUGGAAUGAAUUGAAAGAAAGGUUGAAGAUCAAAUGGUUGCAGUGUAGAAAAGUCAACCAGAAUGCAGAAAAGUCAACCAGUCAACCAAAAAGGUCAACAAAUCAACCAGAAAAGUCAACCAGUCAACCAGAAAAGUUGAUCAGUCAACCAGAAAAGUUGACCAAACCGUUAAGCGACAGUUUUUGGCGCUUAGCGGUCAGUUUUUGGCACUGAGCGGCAGUUUUGGGCGCUGAGCGGUCCUUCGAUUAGAGGGAAACCGCUGAGCGAUUUACUUAGGUGCCUGAGUGGUUAUCUGUUGUUAUUUGGCUAGAUUCUAUUAUCUUUUUGGCCUAUAUAUAGCCCCACUGCAAAUCAAAACUCAUUCUUUUGGCAGAGAGAAACAUCCAGAGCUAUUCCACACACGUUGGAGGAGGUUCCUUGGAUGCUUAGGCUCCAAUCUACCAAGUUUAGGGUUAUUUCUUCCAUUCUUUCAUCAUAUUUUAUCUAGUUUCACCAUGAUUAUGGUCAACUAAACCCUAGGUUGUUGGGGAACAAUGUAAUCUUUUGAAACUCUCAUAUAUCCAAAUUCUUAUUUAUUUUAUAUGCUUGCAUAUGCUUGAUUUAUUAAUUGUUGGGUUCUUCACCUUUGCUUAAUGCUUUUAUAGUUUAACUCAUUUGGUAAAUGUUGUUUGUCUUUAUCGAUACGGGGACGUACAAUAAUGUCAUGAACUGGUGUUGAAUUCCUUGAUUAUGUUAAUACCACCUAGGGAUAGGGGUAGGACGAUCAAUUGUAUUUCGCUUCCGUUUAUCAUGCAUUAUUAAUUGCUAGGGGAGGCUAGGGAUAGNAAGCNGGUAAUUAGUAAUAGGCUUUUUUCACCAAGGGAUUAGGUUAAGGGUAGACCAAGAAAGUUUGCAUGACAAUAUGAUAAAUAAGCUAAUUAAAUAAGAAGAGUAGAUAUAUGAUGGUGGAUAAGAUGAAAUUGUAAACCCCAACAACUCCAUUCAUCCAUAAUUUCUUAAAGCCAAUUGAAUCAUUGCAUUUGCAUGUUUACUUUUGUUCUUUGCAUACACACUUCAACUUAAUUCUUUUCUCAAGUCUUACGUGAUUUGUUUACAUGAAAAGUAAGGCCUAAGAGUCCUUUGGGAAACAGUACUUGGACUUACCCAUUUAUAUUUCUUGAUAACGAUCUGGUACACUUGCCAGGGGCUUAACAUAUUUCACCUUUGAACCAGGUCGGAGUGUUGCUUCUUUUGAGUCAAGGUGGAUUCCUUUGUCAAUAUCUUCCUCCUUAGGUACCUGCAAAAUAUUACAAUCAUCAUUAGUACCUGUAUAUCUUCCAAUUGCAACAUCUCCCCUUGAAGCUUUAUACUUCGCUCUCUUUCUUGUCUGUGUUAUCUUCUCCUCAGAGCCAGUAUAAAUUAAGACAUUUUCUUGAUCUUUUAACAUAAUCCUCCCGUCAUAGAUACUCAUAACUAAUUCAGCAGUUUUCAUGAAAGGCCUUCCCAAAAUCAAUGGAAUCCUUUCAUUCGUGUCCAUAUCCAUGACUAUAAAAUCAACCGAGAACUCAAGAUGCUCAACCCGAACAAUCACAUCCUCCACCAUACCAAGCGGCAUCUUAGUAGAUCCAUCCGCUACCAUCACGGAAAUAUUAGAUGGUUUCAAUAUUAACCCUCCAAAAUUUUUCAGAUAACACAAAGGCAUCUUAUUAAUACUAGACCAAGAAUCUAGCAUAGCUCUUCCUACAUCCACAUCUCCUAUAACGCAUGGAAGAGUAAGACUUCUUGGAUCCUUCAUCUUAGCCGAAUGUUUUCGCCGUGUAUAAGCUUCCUGUUCUUCAAUAUCCUCUUCAUCAAGAUCUAUCACCUCUCCAAGAUAAUACUUAAUUCUCUUGGAGUACACAGGAAUAUGGCGGAGUAAUUUAACUGAAGGCAUGACAAUCACCUGAUUAAAAAUCUCUCUAAAUUGCUCACGGUGAUUUUCUCUUCUCUCAUUUUUUGUCUCCUCUUCUUCUUCUUCUCCUUCACUGCUUUCUAGCUCAAUAAUUUCUUUUUCAUCUUCCUCCCCCUUACUAUUCUCAAUUUCAAUGAUUUCUUUUUAUGCUCUUCUCUCGCUCAUGCUCACCACUACUUUGCAUUCCUCUUUAGGGUUAACAUCAGUAUUAGCCCUAAAUAGGUCCUUCUCUGUGGUUCCCACCCUCUUUGACAAUUGACCAAUCUGCAUCUCCAGAGUUCUGAAAUUGGCUUGGUGACUCGCAUAGUGAGAAUCAUACACCUUCAUAAAUUUAUCAAAUUUAUCAUUAAGGUCUCUAACAUUCUCUGUCAAAUUAGCCACUUGCUGCCACAAUGGUGGUUGUUGUGGUCUGUUGUUGAAAAGACCUCCUAUUUGCCCAGAUGGGUUAUUUUGACUUUGUCCAAUACUAGGAUGGUUCUUCCAACCUUGGCUAAAGUUUCCUUGAUUGAAGUUUCCCUGCCUAUAUUGGAAUUUAUUACCCAUAUAGUUUGCCUCUUCUUGCCUCUCUUAAAACACAGCACAUUGACCAUUAAUAUGGUCACCACCACAGAAAUCAAAAAGUUGUUGACCUUGAGACACAUUCCUAAUCUCCUUUGGAAGUUGAGCGAGAAUCUUUGUCAAAUUAUCAAGUUUCCGAGUGAGAAGGUGAUUCAGAGCUAGUAAUGCAUCAUCAACAGGAAAAUGUAGAACUCCCCUCUUUUGAGAUGUUGCACCCCUUUCACUAUGAGUCUCUUGCUCAUUCACAACAAUACUUUCAAUCAAAUCAUAAACAUCGUCCUCAGUCUUUUUCUUUAUGUCGGCUCCAGCUGAAGCGUCUAACAUCAUCUUACACUGUGUACUAAGGCCUCCAAGGAAUGCAAGAACCAAAUUUGUUUUAUCAAACCCAUGAACAGGAGUUUUUCUCAGCAAGCCUUUAAACCUAUCCCCCCUGUCCAAGAGUUUCCUCCCUGUCUGAAGGAAGAAAUCUCCAGCUUUCCUUGACUAAUUUUCGACUACGGAAAAUACUUAUUCAAAAAUUUGGACUCCACUGUCUCCCAUGUUGUGAAAGUUCCUUCAGGAAAGGAAUGUAACCACAAUUUAGCAUUGCCUCCAAGUGAAAGAGGGAACAAAUUGAGUUUGGUCCUAUCGUCUGAAACUCCAAUCAUUUUUACUGUAUUACAAAUCUCAUUGAAUGUUGUCAAAUGAUCAUAUGGAUUCUGAUUUGACAGCCCAUGAACUUGGUUGCUCUACACUAGAUGGACUAACGCAGGAUUCAUCACCAUGUUACUUGUGUUAUCCCUUGGCAUGGAAACAUUGUUGAAGUGCAACGGGCCAACAACAUUUGAUGCAUCUACAAGUGUGCGUUUAGGAGGAGCUUGCUCUGCCAUCUCUUCUUCUGUCCUUUGUGAAGAUGCCUCCGGUGAGGGUUGUAAUAGCCUUUCAGGAGAAGGGAAUAGUUCUCUAGACGGACGUCUAACUUUCUUCCCCCUCCUAUCACUCAAUCCUUCCAGAAAAGGUUGACUUUUCUUACUUUUGGUUUGAACUGCUUCCUACAUACACAAGAAACAAAAACCCUAAAAGAACUUUUUAUAUAAAGAAAAAUAAAACUAAUAAAACAAAAACAAAAUAUAUACAGAGUCAAAUUUAAUCAAUUUACACUACUUGAAAAGUUAAACCACGAGUCCCCGACAACGGAGCCAAAAACUUGUUAAGCCCCUGGCAGGUGCACUAGAUCGUAUCAAGUAAUAAUAGACAGUAAGUCCAAGAUCGUUUCCCAAGGGACUCUUAGGCCUUAUCUUUCAUGUAAAUUGAUUGCAUGAGACUUGAAGGAAGAAUAAUUUUGUAGUGUUAAUGCAAAACUAAAUAUAAACAUGCAAAUGCAAAUUUGAAUCAAUUGGCAAAUAAGAUAUAUGAAUAAAUGGAGUUGUUGGGGUUUAAUAUUUCAUCCUUAUCCACCCUCUUAUAUCUACUAUUCUUAUUAAAUUCGCUUUAUUAUCAAUGUCAUGCAACUUUCUAGAUUACUCUAAACCUGAUUCCUCGACGAAGAGAGCCUAUUUCCAAUUACUAGUUUACCAUUCCUAAUCUCCCUAGUAAUUACCAACGCAUUAAGUACUGAAGCUUAAAGCAAUUGAUCGUCCUACUCCUAUUCCUAGGCAGUAUUUCAUAAUCAAGAGAAUUCUUAUCAGUUCUAGACUUCCCUGUAUGUUCCCGUAUCGACAAAAUCCAAUAUCAUAACACCGCAUGAGUUAAACGAUGUAAGCAUUAACAUCAUAAAGGAAAACCCAAACAAUUAAUAAUAAAAGCAUGUGAAUAUAAUAAGAAAUUUGAUAAAAGAAAGUUUCAAAAGGACUACAUUGUUCCCCAACAACAAAGGGAUUAGUUCACCUUGGACAUGGUGAAACUAGAUGGAAUUAAUGGAAAAGAUGAAAGAGUAAACCCUAGAAUUGAUAAAUUGGAGCCUAAGCAUCUAAGAAACCGCCUCCAAGGAGUGUAGAAGGUGCUCUGAAGUCUUCCUCUGCCAAAAGAUUACCCUAAGGGUCGCACUGGGUCUAUUUAUAACGCAGAAAAGUAACAGAAUUUCGGCCCAGGCCCAUCAUUUAAGCGCUCAGCGCUCGUUUGACCGCUCAACUAUAACCCCUAUAAUUGUAGGACGCUCAGCAGUGGAACCUGGCGCCCAGCAUUGGAUCUCCAGAAUCACAGGACGCUCAGCGUCACCGCUCAAGCGAGAAAUAAUGGCUUCCUCCUCGAAGCUGGCGCUCAACACUGGAAUUGGCGCUGAGCGGUGGACCUUACUCUUCUCUUGUUUCUUUUCUCAUCCUUUCUUGAGUCUAAGUCUUCCCUUCUUCACUUCCAUCCUUCAAUUCUCAUCAAAUCUUGUCAAAACAAUGUAAAAACAAGCAUAAUAUCUCUAAAAACUACUUUUCACUCUCUUCUGACUAAACUAAGUGUUUUGCAUGAUUCGAAGCUCAUUCUAAGCUAUAAAAGGUGUGUUUUGAUAUCAAAUUUAAGUAUAAAAAUAACGGUUUUUAGACCGUUAUCACGCUGCACUUAGAAUUUUCAUUCCUUGUGAUUCAAGAAACUUUGUAAAGGUUCAUACUUUGUGAAAAAGAUUUGUAAAAGACUCUGAUUCUGAAACCUUACCAAUUCACCCCCCCUCUCGGUGUUGAAACGAAGCCCACCUGUUUUCCAACAGUUAUGAUCAUAUUGCCNUGGCCUACCAAGUAAUACAUGUCCAACAUCUAUUGGAACAACAUCACAUAAAACAUUUUCUUCAUAGUUGCCAAUGGAUAUUGGUAUGGUUACUUGGGUGUUGACUACUAUUUCUUCAUCCUCUUUUAUCCACUAAAGCUUGUAAGGCUUGGGAUGAGGAAUAAUAGGUAAGGCGAACUUGUUCACCACUCUAGAACUACAACAAUUGCAAGAAGAACCAUUAUCCACAAUUAAUGAACAAGGGUUUUCAAAAAUUUUGCAUCUUGUGCGGAGUAGGUUCUCCCUUUAGGAUUGUUCUAGUUCUUUGGUUUGACUUCCAAGACAUUGUCUAACCAAUAAUAACUCACCUUCACAAGGUAAGGCUUCUUCGUCAGAUAUGGAAGUAUCCAAUUCACUUGAAGAAUCCUCAUUUUCACUAUGAUAGUCUAAGAGAUAAGUAGACCUUUUGUGAGGACAAUCAAAAGAAUAAUGUCCUUGCUCUCCACAUUUAAAACAUCUGGUCUCUCUACCCCUUGUGUCUCUUGAAGUUCUUUGUGAGAGGUAUUUCUUUCUCGGUCUCUCUCUUUUCCUUUACCGCUCACUUUCUCUUUCUCUUUUUCUUUUUCUUGAGGCUUUUCAUACCUCAAAGGACUACCCUCCCUCUUAAUAUCUUUCCUAUACAUGAAGGUGGUAAGGGAAGUCCUUCUAGUGGAAGUUUUUCUUCUAUUUUGCUCUUCCACUCUCACACGUAGCUGGAUAAAGUCAUUGAGAUAUAAGUAAGGUAAAAGCUCUAUCUUAUCUUUGAUGUCAUAUUUAAGGCCGCUUUCGAAUCUAGCUAUGGUGAAUCUUUCUUCCUGUUUGAUUCCAGUUCUUAACAUGAGUAAUUCUAAUUUCUGUCGAUAUUCCUCGACACUCAUGUUUCUCUGUUGGAGUCGAUGGAGCUUGUCCAUGAUCUCCCGCGCAUAGUAUGCUGGGACAUGUCUGUGAUGCAAGGCUGCCUUUAACUCAUUCCAGUAUUGUAUGGUGUAGUCGCCAUGCAUCCUUUGUUCUCUGAUUACUGAUGUCCCCCAGUAUAGAGCUGCACCUUGAAAGGUCAAUGUUGCUAUUGUUACUCUCCUCCUAUCAUCAAUGUUGUAACACUCAAAAAUUUGUUCCACCUUCGUCUCCCACUCAAAGUAUUCAUCUACAUUAUCUCGGCCAUAGAAGGGGGAAGGUCAAAUUUAGAUUUCACAUGAUGUUCUCUGUGAUUGUAGUUUCUCCUAGGUGGAUGUUGAUAAUAGUCAUAAUGAUGACCACUAUUGUGAUCACUAUGAUGUUGAUACGUGGGGCCCAAGCCCACCAAAUAAAGAACAACCCAAAAACAUGGAGAGGGGUAAAAUAGACCUUUAUGCACAUGUAGGGGUGAGAUUAGCUUGAUAGGGGGUGCACCGGGAACUUUCUUAUUUUAGAAAUUGAAAUAAACGUGUACUCCAUAUAGAUUCUAGAAGCUAGCACAUUUAGCACAUGUCUUAGAAAUAGGAAACGUGAUUCAUAUUGGCUGAACACGUUCUUCAUCACCAAGCCAAAGGUUGAGGAGUCUAUAAAACUCACCUUGGCUGCCCAUGUAUUCACUUUUGGAUGAUAUUAGAGAAACUCUGCUAAAAUGCAUAGCUACUUUCUCAAGUCCGAGAGUCACCUCAUUGCUUGCCUCUCCAUUNCAUAGCUCAGGUAAGGAGGGAUUGAUUUUCUGAAUAUUAUCAUCGUAAUAACUCUGCUGACUUGAUCGUUGGAGUGCUAACCUGUAGGUACUCCCAUUCGGUGUUCCAGCUACUACGAGAGUUCAGAAACAAAGAACAGGUUCGCUGUGGUCUAUUGUAAUCUCGCUUCCAUCCGAAACAUUUUGGCGCCCACCGUGGGGCGAGAUAGCUACAAGCCUUUAAACGAUCACAAUGGCAGGAGACCUUUCGUUACAGUUACUUCAGGAAAUGCAACGUCAAAUGCAAGAAAUGAGAGCCGAAAUCGCUGCACUACGAGCCGAACGAGUUCAAAACAAGGCACUCGCUAAUUCUGUUCAACUGGAAACAUUACCCAUUGAAAGCGAAGAGAGUGGCCAUCAGGCCACUGAGGGAGAGGGGAUAAGGAGAAAUGGUAACGUCGGAGGAGGGAAUGAACAAGGUGAACACGAAAGAGAAGGUGGCAGAAGGGUAAACACAAGAAAUAGAGGAGAGCAGGAGGGAAAUCCUAACAGGCAGAACGGGCCCAGGGGUGGGGAGAAUGGCCCGAACGUAAGUAGAAGGAACGGUGUCGGAGGUGAAAACAGCGGAGCCAAUUUUAAUGGCCGUAAUGAUGGCCAUCAAAAUGCAUCAGCCGAACGGGUUCCAACCGUUAAUGAUCGGGAGGUGGAGAUACUCGACCAAGCAGAAGGUCUGCACCCAUUUACAGCACGUGUGAUGAGAACGGAUAUGCCAGAAAACAAGAUGCUACCUGCAAUGGAACGAUAUGGUGGCGCUACAGAUCCCAUCAAGCACCUCAGAUCCUUCAUCGACGCUAUGGCGGUAUACUCUCCGGACGAAAUGGUAUGGUGCAGGGUUUUUUCUUUAUCAUUGAAAGGAGAAGCCCUAGACUGGUUUCACUCACUGGCACCCCGAACGAUUGACUCUUUCGCUACCCUUAGGAGAUUAUUCAGCCAGCAAUACAUAUCAAGUAAAGCCCCUGGAAUGACGUAUACAACCCUGAUGAGAAUCAGGCAAGGAAGAGAGGAAACACUAAGAGGGUUCAUGGAAAGGUUUAACCGGACGGCCCGCCAAGUGCGAAAUGUCGAUCAAAGACUGAUAGUCAGCGCCUUGACUACGGCCUUAAGACCCGGACCUUUUGUGGACUACCUAUACGCAGAAGAACCACAAAGCAUGGCCGAUUUGCAACACAAAUUGGCAAGUUUCAUCCGAAUUGAAGAAGGAAGGGCUCAUCAUAAGGGCCAUGAUAAUGAACCAAAGGAGCAGAUAAGGAGGGAGGGACCGAAUAGAGGAACAUUAAGAAAAGAGGAACGACCGGUCGGGCCCAGAAGGGUAGACCCUCCGAGGAUAUUGCAGAACGUGCAUCACACCCCUCUCAAUGCACCUCGUACCAGAGUAAUGGAAGAAGCAUUGAGAGCAGACCUAUUGAAAGUGGUCCGUGCCCCUACACCUUUGGGAGCCAACCAAAGUAAGUAUUGCAAAUAUCACCAAAACAGGGGACACACUACAGAAGAUUGCAAUACACUGAAGGAUAAGUUGGAAGAUUUGAUUCAAGCCGGACAUUUACAAAAAUUUGUGCAACGCCACCAACCGUCAUUGCCGACCGACCAUAAUCAUCAAAAAAUCAAGAGUAGACAUGAUCGGAGUAGAAGUAGAAGCUGGAGUAGAGAAAGGGUUACGCGGGGUAUCAUAAACACAAUCUCGGGCGGAUUCGCAGGAGGAGGCCCAUCAAUAUCGGCCCGGAAGAGGCAUCUACGCAGCUUACAUCAUGUAAACCAAGUCGGAGCUGAGCGGAGAUCUCUGCCUAUAAUCUCCUUUUCAGACGAAGACUUCCAUGCUCCCGAUCCUGAUCAGGACGAUCCCAUGGUGAUAGUGGCAAUGAUCGCCCGUUAUCAAGUUGGUAAAGUUCUGAUUGAUCAAGGGAGCUCAGCAAAUAUUCUGUAUUGGAAAACAUUCAAACAGAUGGAUAUUCCCGAAGGGGCUAUUCAACCCUUUCAUGAACAAAUUGUAGGCUUUGCAGGAGAGCGGGUAGAUACCAGGGGGUAUGUGGAACUUAAAGUCAGUUUGGGGUUGGAAAAGGAUGCAAAGGAGCUUAACGUUAGAUUUUUGCUGGUGGAAGCAGACACGUCAUACAAUGCACUUUUGGGGCGGCCUUGCUUGAAUGCGUUCGGGGCAAUUGUGUCAACACCACAUUUAGUAUUGAAAUAUCCAGACGAUCGGGGUAAAGUGUGUGCCGUCCGUGCUAAUCAGAAGAUGGCACGGGAGUGUUAUGCAGCCGGACUCAAAGUGAAGAAACGGCUACUUACUAAACAGGAGGACCGAUCGACAGUAGCAAUGGCCGAUUUAGAUCCAAGAUUAAACUUGGAUGAUCGGUUGGAACCCAUGGGUGAAACUCAACCGAUCAUUUUAGGAGAUGCACCGGACAGGCAUACAGCGGUCGGGAAAAACCUAAGCAAAGAACAAGUGGAGGUAAUGAGUAAAAUUUUGCUCAAGAACAGGGAUCUGUUUGCAUGGGUACCAUCCGAUAUGCCGGGAAUACAUCCUGACAUUAUCUCCCACAAACUACCAAUAUUCCGCGAUGCUCGACCGGUCGCACAAAAGAAAAGAAGGUUAGGCCCCGAGAAGAGACAGGCUGUAGAAGAAGAAGUGCAGAAGCUGUUAGAUGCAGGAUUCAUCCGGGAAGUAAAAUAUACUACAUGGUUGGCCAAUGUAGUUCUGGUCAGAAAGUCUAACGGUAAAUGGAGAAUGUGCACAAAUUUCACCGAUCUGAAUAAAGCCUGCCCCAAAGACACUUAUCCUCUACCCAGCAUUGACGGUCUGGUUGAUGGGGUAGCUGGCUACAAAAUAUUGAGUUUUCUGGAUGCUUACUCAGGGUACAAUCAAAUACCAAUGCACCACCCUGACAGAGAAAAAACUGCAUUUAUUACCGAACGAGGCACAUAUUGCUAUAAUGUAAUGCCGUUCGGUUUAAAGAAUGCCGGAGCUACCUAUCAGAGGCUUAUGGAUAAGGUGUUUGAAAAGCAAAUAGGGCGAUGUAUGGAGGUAUACGUCGAUGAUAUGGUUAUACGAAGCCAUUCGUUGGAAGAACACAUCAAAGAUCUAGAGGAGGUACUAGGUCAGGUCAGAAAGUAUGGGAUGAGGUUGAACUCCGCCAAAUGCACGUUCGGGGUGAACGCAGGCCGUUUUUUGGGGUUCCUGUUGACCGAUAGAGGAAUAGAAGCAAAUCCUGAUAAAUGUAAGGCUAUUUUGGACAUGCGCAGCCCGAUCAAUUUAAAAGAGAUUCAACGCUUGGUCGGUCGGUUGACGUCCUUAUCACGAUUCAUCCCGAAAUUAGCUGAGAAAAUCAAACCCAUUCUAAAGCUUAUGCGAAAAAGCAGCCCCGAAGGAUGGAAUGAAGAGUGUGAAGGAGCCUUCAGGGAAGUUAAGAAAAUCCUGAUUGUCCCGCCCGUCAUGGGAAGACCCGAUCCCGGUCACGCGCUACAUAUCUUCUUAGCAGUAACCGACGCCGCCAUCAGUGCAGCUCUGAUCCAGGAACAACCUCAGUUCAGGUUGGUUUACUUUGUUAGUCGAAGCCUGAAGGAUACAGAAGUCCGGUAUCAAAAGUUAGAGAAGGUAGCCCUGUCUCUUUUAUACGCCGUUCGGCGUCUCCGGCCUUACUUUCAAGGACAUCAAGUGAUAGUCCGAACGGAUUACCUAAUAGCUAAAAUCUUACGCAAACCAGAUUUAGAUGGAAUGAUGAUAGGAUGGUCCGUCGAGCUGUCUGAGUUCGGAUUACAGUACGAACCUAGAGGAUCAGUAAAGAGACAACACUUAGCUGAUUUUGCAGUUGAAUUGCCAUAUACAAUACCCGUUAAUGCUUGGAAACUUUAUGUAGACGGGUCGUCAUGCAAAGCAGGAGGAGGAGCGGGAAUUGUGCUAGAAGGACCGAACGAUAUGAUCAUCGAACAAUCUAUCUUGUUCAAGUUCAAGGCAAGCAAUAAUCAGGCUGAAUAUGAAGCAUUGAUUGCAGGAAUGGAGCUCGCUCGGGAUGUUGGCGCAGACACUUUGGCAUGUCAUACGGAUUCUCAAGUGGUGGAGGGGCACAUGAACGGUAAUUACCAAGUGAAAGAUGAUCAUUUACUACGAUAUUUCCAUAAAGCGAAGCAGUUGCAAGCAUGUUUUGAUGAAUUCACAAUCACUUAUGUGCCACGAGAACAAAAUAUUCGCGCCGAUCGGUUGUCCAAAUUAGUUCAUGGGAAAGAGAAAGGGGUUUUGAAUUCAGUGAUUCGGCAGGUAUUAUCCGAACCAACUAUAGGCAGUUAUGCCAUCUAUUCUCAACUCAAUGUGGAUAGUUCCGAAACCAAUGUGGACAGGCAGGCCUGUUGGAAAGAUGAGAUUAUUCGGCUCAUACGACGACAGGAUGAGGGGCAUAACUUACAGACAGAAGAAAUAAAGAAAAUUUCCCGAUAUUGUUUGAUCGGGGACGAUUUAUACCGAAGGGGAUACGUUACCCCGAUCAUGAAAUGCCUAUCUACGGAAGAAGCAAGUUAUGUCUUGCUUGAACUACAUCAGGGCAUAUGUGGUAGACAUACAGGAGGACGUGCACUGAAGGCACGCGUUCUGAGGGCCAGAUUCUUUUGGCCUACAUUAGAACAGGAUUGUCUGUCCUUUUCGAAAAAAUGUGAAUCCUGCCAGAAGCACGGCAAUGUUUUCCACGCCCCAGCAUCAGAAUUGCAUAACAUAUUCUCCCCUUGGCCGUUCGCCCAAUGGGGAAUGGAUGUAGUGGGACCAUUCCCGCUCGGUCGAUCCCAAAAGAAGUUCCUCCUGGUUGCCAUAGACUACUUCACAAAAUGGGUUGAAGCCGAACCACUGGCCAAAAUUUCUACUGCACAGGUCAAACGAUUUAUAUGGCGUCUCAUAUGCAGAUUUGGCCUGCCUAAGACGAUAAUAACAGACAACGGGAGGCAGUUUAUAGACAAACGGUUGCAAAGCUUUUAUAAGGAGUUAGGCAUCACAAGUGUCACAAGUUCGGUAGAACAUCCUCAAACAAACGGGCAGGCCGAAGCAGCGAAUAAAAUCAUCCUAAACGAGUUAAAGAAACGUUUGGGGGAAGCUAAAGGAGGAUGGGUAGACGAGAUCGAUCAUGUUUUGUGGGGAUAUCGUUGCUCCCCGCACGGGUCUACAGGGGAAUCACCGUUCAAUUUGACCUAUGGCACAGAUGCCAUGUUACCUGUGGAGGUUGGAGAACCGACCGUUAGGCGACAACUGUCGGACAUGACAAUCAAUGACGAACAACUCAGAGGCAAUCUAGAUGUAAUUGAAGAACGACGUCAUGUGGCAGCCAUAAAAAACGAAGCAUACAAGAGAUUAGUAGCCCGAAGGUAUAACACUAAGGUUAAACCUCGACGGUUCGUAGAAGGGGAUCUUGUUUGGCGUAAGACGGCCGACGCAAGGAAAGUUCCUUCUGAAGGAAAGCUGGCAGCAAACUGGGAUGGAUCGUUCAGAAUAAAAGAAGACUUAAACAACGGAGCUUAUCGUUUGGAAUACUUAACCGGCGACAACAUACCGAACACUUGGAAUGCAUCUCUUCUGAAAUUUUACUUUAGCUAAUUCCCAAUUUUAUUUCUUUUGGAAAAUAAGGCGAGGUGAUCCUAUGCACUCACCCACUCAUUAUAUUUGCAAUACUUUAUGAAUAAAUUCAUACGUACCUUUACAACCUGAUCAGUAUUAUUCCUUCGUUUAAAUUUGUUAUUCUCAUGUUAUCAUCGUUAUUGGUGAAUAAGGUGAUACUUAGCAAGUACGGGGAAUAAGGAGUUCAUUAUCUUUUUGAUCGAGCUGUUAUUGGUGAAUAAGGUGAUACUUAUCAAGUAAGGGGAAUAAGGAGNUCAUUAUCUUUUUGAUCGAGCUGUUAUUGGUGAAUAAGGUGAUACUUAUCAAGUAAGGGGAAUAAGGAGCUCAUUAUCUUUUUGAUCGAGCUGUUAUUGGUGAAUAAGGUGAUACUUAUCAAGUAAGGGGAAUAAGGAGCUCAUUAUCUUUUUGAUCGAGCUGUUAUUGGUGAAUAAGGUGAUACUUAUCAAGUAAGGGGAAUAAGGAGCUCAUUAUCUUUUUGAUCGAGCUGUUAUUGGUGAAUAAGGUGAUACUUAUCAAGUAAGGGGAAUAAGGAGCUCAUUAUCUUUUUAAUCGAGCUAUUAGCUCAUUAUUAUGGGAAAAUAAGGUGGUACCUACCGAACGAGAAGAGUAAUAGUUGGCUAUCUUUUCGAUUAAGUGAAUCGCUUCUUUAUAACACCCUCAUUAUCGUUGAACGAGGUGGUACGUACCGAUUACACAAAGGUUUUAUUGGUCGUCCGAUAGAAAAUGAUACUUUUAGUAUUUUUGAUAACGAAGACUAGUCAUAAUACUGAAGUGUUCAUACAGCAUUUAACAUAACAAAUAUAAUAAUUGUUCACAACACACCAACAUUCUUAUAUAACUACUAUCAAGCAUUACUCAAUUUUUAUCAGCAGGAUCGGUAGUCUUGGAGGCCAGAUCGGCAUCAGUUGGAACCUGAUCAUCUAGUUCUGCUCCCGCAUUUGUCGUGACCUGGUUGCCCAAAUCAAUUAACUUCCCAUCAACAAUCACCUUCAUGAUGUCAAAAUGCGGAUCGGCCAUAGGGGUCUGGAAGAAAUGAUGACAUUGAGCAAUUCCUUGUUCAAAUCCUAGUUCCCUUUCUAAGCACACUUGAUCCCCCAACCGGGCUGUCUCCGCAACCAAGUUAUCCCGCUCAGUGGUCAGGUCGUCCUUUUCUUUAGCCAAAUUCUUAAUUUUACUGGUCAAUUCGGCAAUACUGGUGUUCGAGGUAUCUAGGGAGGCUUUAAGGUUGGCUACUUCUUUCUGCGACUCCUUAAGUUGCUCUGUUGCGCGCACCCGAUCAUCCUCAGCCGCUUUGGUCAAUUCUUCAACACGAAGUGUCAAGGCAAUGUUCUUCUUCUUAAAAUCUGCCAAUUCACUCAUGGCUACUUCCAGUUCAUUCACCAACAAAGGCUUGGUUGUCCCAGCAGAAUAAUUCAAACAAACACUUGCGCGAGCAAUCAACUCGUAUGCCAUGUUGAUGGAUUCACUGGGUGUCAUCUCCUUGAAUGGUUUCCUUUCAUCCGGGGAGAGGUUGAACUGCAGCCGAUCGGACACAUGAACAUCGGGUCUAGUGGCCCGGUCAGUAAAGGCAUACUCACUUUCUGUUUUUUAGGCGGAGAGGGUGUUUUUUCCGCUUUCCUCUUAGGUUUGCCCCUUGUUGCGUGGGACUUGGUGGCUUUGGUCUCAACCACAUCGUCUACUGAAUCAGUUAUUUUUAAAGCCGGAUUAACUGUAGGAGUAGAUUUCGCUGGUGACGCCGGUGAGGAGGAACUUUCAGCAAUUUUCUUUAGUUUUUUCUGAGCCAUCAAUCGAGCGAAAGCAGUGUGUUGAUCCAUUCCUUCAGACAGCUCUGCAAGUAAAAGGUAAAUUUAGACAAGUCAAUAAUGAUGGACGAUCGGCAAACGGUAGGAAGCAAGACGUACCUAAUACGGUAGUUCGUAACUCCUCGGUGCCGAGAAGUUUUAUCAGUAUACGGGAUGACGUCUUGCGGGGUAACUGAUCGAUCUUAUUGACAACAUUCAACUCGUCAUCCGUCAUAUCUGUUAGUGGCCAUGAUUCUAACCGGGUAAGCUCUUUGGUCCAAUAUAACGGAAAUUUUGGUUCACCAUUGUUUAAAAAAUAUUUUGGCCGACCUGGUUCCCGAAUAGCUAUUUUACAGUAAUUGGCUUUAAAGUCUUUGUAUGAGGAGUUAAAAGAAGUGAAUAGUUGUUUAUCUUUAGCCGGAAGGAGGGAUAUCCAAGAUCUACUGGAGUUAGGAAAUACUCGGAAGAAAUGUAAGAAAGAUUUAGGGGUGGGAUCAAGCUGCAGACCGGUGCAUAACACCUGAAAGGCUUGCACACAAGCCCACUCGUUAGGGUGAAGUUGGGCAGGGCAUAUGUUCAAGUAUUUUAAUACUCCCAUUUGAAAUUCAGUGAAGGGCAGUCUUACACCUAAAUCUUUGAACAAUGUUAUAUAUACAUAGAAAAAAUCUAAACUAUACCCCUCCCGACCGUGACAGGCCCUUUCAUUCGAACGACUUACUACUAGAGUAUAAUCGUCAACAUCCCUAAAGUCAGAUAAAAUAUAUACCUUUUGUAAUAGAUGCCUUAUGGUAGCUCUACGAAUAUAGUAAGGAAGGUAGGUUUGUACCUCAUGGGGAGCCCAUUCGUACCCUUCUACCCUCGGCGGUGCUAAAAUGGACGUCCAUGUCCGGGAAUCGUCGAUAUUGAAUUCGACAUAAAAGUGACCGGACGAGCUACUAGAAUCACUGGAAUUGCUGACGAUGACUUACUCCUAUGAUCAGCACCCCCCGGACAGUCAUCCUCAGUAUCAGUUGAUGAAGAAGAGGAAGACAUUACCUUGCUUCGAGUGGCGGUCGGCAAUAUCGGUAGCCCGUUCAGUAUUCAAGAGCAAGGGAAGUGUACAGAGUGAAAAUGACAGUGGUCCCUCCCCCCUAUUUAUAGCCGCAAUAGACGGUUUCAUAUCUUCAUCUCUGCCGUCCAUUACCUCCAUAUCUAACGCUUCAGAUUUUAUGCCUGUUCACGUCCUUCGUGAUGACGUCAUGGCUUAAUCUCAGCCAUUCCUCAUUGUUCAUCCUACGGCUGGAGACCAAACGUUUUUUCCAAGAGUAAUAACUAUUUAUCCGUUAUGUCUCUUCAGUCAAUACAUUUAUUUAUUCAGAAACCCUUACACUCUUGGCAUCGUUAAGGGCUCGGGGGGCUUAUGUAAUAUAGAUGGCUCAAGUCGAUCGGGGUCACGAAGAGGAAGAUCGGGAAUGAGUUAAUGCCGAUAGGGAGAAAUACGCUCAUAGAGGAUAGCUGGUGACCUNUGUAAAGACUACAAGAAAAAGGUCAGAAGAGUUUGGUAGAUCGGGAGAUAGGCCAAGAAGAUCGGGGUGAGGAUUAUACCGAAGAAGUAGCGAUAGUUAAGUUAGUGGAGAGAGUUCGCGGAUUUAGCGGAGCGAAUGGCGGAGUAAAUAUCUAGAAGGAGGGAAGUGGUUGCUACUACGNUUACAGCUAACAGCUAAGUUCGCGGAGAAAAGUACGGAGUACGUGACUAAGCGUAACGUGCCUCCUAUUAUUGUGGAUAUAUUUCUCUAUAAAUAGGCAAGCAUAGCUCAGGUAAGGAGGGAUUGAUUUUCUGAAUAUUAUCAUCGUAAUAACUCUGCUGACUUGAUCGUUGGAGUGCUAACCUGUAGGUACUCCCGUUCGGUGUUCCAACUACUACGAGAAUUCAGAAACAAAGAGCAGGUUCGCUGUGGUCUAUUGUAAUCUCGCUUCCAUCCGAAACAGGUAUGUUUAUCGAAAUAUAAAAAAUCAAUAUAAUGAAAUUAAUAUUUUUUUUAGAAAUUCUUUUUAUAUGAUAAUUUUUUAUUAUUUAAGAAUAUGACCCUAUUGUAUCACAACGGAAAAAUCGACUCUUCAAACAAAAGUAUAUUUAUUUUUUAUUUUAGAACAGUUAGCACUUUUAUGUUGAAAACUCUUGAACUUGAGUUCGUUAAGACAAAUUUUCCAAACAUACGUUAAGUAUGUCAAAAUGUAUCCAGUGGAAAAAACUCAACCAUCUCUAGUGGGAAAAAGGAACAAUUAUCUUAACUUUAUAUGUCAUAAAAAUUAGUUUCAACAUAUUGAAAGCAUAAAUCAUUUAUCAUUUAAUAAUAAAAUGUUCUAAGAAUAAUUAUAAUUGUAAUAUUGUGCUCAAAACAAGAAUCAUUAUUCAAUUAUUUAGGAUAAUAAAACCAAAUUCAACCAAUAACAAUUUAAUCACACUUUAAUUAAGAAUAACAUAAUGAAUACAACUAAAAUAUAGAAUUCUUUUUAUUCUCUCAUAUAUAGACACACAUUUUUAUCACAUGGAGGUAUAAUUUUUUUUCUAGUUACAUGAUUGUCAUUUCAUACUUUUAUUAACAUCAUUUUCUAAAUAUUGUGUUGGGUGGAACUCCAUUUAAUACUUAGACAUUAUUAUUAUAUCUCAUUUUAAAUGAGUUCAUAUCUCAAUAAGGAAUUUUUUAUCUUCUCCCUUAUUCAUAUUUCAAUAAAAACAUUUUGCACCUAUCGUGAAUCUACAAUAAAAAUCUUCUAAGCCAUUAAUAACAGAUUGUGUGAACAGUUUUAUAGUUUUAUUGUAUAGUGAUUACACUUUCUAGAUGUUUUAUUUUUUUAGAAGAUCAUUUUUACGUUUUAGUAAUAAAAUGGAUUAUGUGACAAAUUUACUUUAAUUUUACAUUUUUAGUUCAUCUAAUCUUGAGUAAUUGUUUUGAUCAUGACUUCUUUUUGUAGAUAUCAUUUUGGGAUUAUUUCAGUUGUAAUAGAUUUUAUACUUUUGACACUUUAAUUUGGAAAUAUGAUUUGUUGAACUUGGACUCUUGUGUUAUGUUUUAUUAUUUUUAGAAUGAUUUACUGUAGAGUUGUAAAAGGGAUAUAUGGAUUAGUUUCUUUCUUUAUAUUAGCAUAGAAUUGUAAAAGGGAUCUAUGGAUUAGUUUCUUUCCUUAUAUUAGCUUGUAUUUGGCGCUUCUUUCUGCACCUCAUAGUUUUCUUUCCGCAUCCCUAAUGUUUUGAAAAGGCCAAUAAGUGUCUUCGGCUUUGAACAGAGUAAAAACCUUCAUUUCUACUUAUCUCUCUCACUUUUGCUCUGCACCUCCCAGCUCCUCCUUCACAACUUUUAUGUCGCACAACUCUUGUUUUAUUCCUCUCAACUCAUUGAUAUGGAACAACAUGCCUAGAUAGAAUUAAAACUAAAAACUAAAGAAGACAAAUUAGAAAUGAAAUUAAAAAAACCAAAAUUGAAAUAGAAAAAGGAAAGGAAACUUAUGAAUUUGAAGACAUACUACUUGGAAGGAUCCAAGAUAAUUGUCAAGGAGGAUCGUCCAUUAUUCUUCACAAGAUAAGACUUAAAUUUAUAUUAAGAGACAAAAUAAUAUCUCAAAGAAGUAAUACAAUUGAAUGCAAAACACUCUUUAUAUUCAAAUUUUAAGGUGUAUAUACAAAGGAGACCUUAGGUUGCUUAUAUAGCACUAUGAGAUGAAAAAGGUUGAGAAAACUAAGGGAUGUGGACUUAGAGACCUUAAAUCUGAAAUGUAGCUUCUAAAAUAGGUUUUAGGUCCCACAACUCUCAAUUCUACAUCAUCCUAAAGGUAUAUAAGCUAUCUAACUAGCUUAAAGUUCAAAACUAAAACUAUACAAGAGGUAACUUGCAUUACAAGCAACUAAAAGGAGAAGAGACUUUUUUUUUUUUUUCUUUUAGUUCCAAACUGUAACACCCUUAAUAGAAUGCCACGUGUUAAGUAAUAAAGUGAAAAAUUUUAUAAAUUCCUUCUCGUCAAUUUUUUUUUCCAUAAUGUAACAUCGUUGAAACAAAACUUCAAUUGUUCAAACAUUCUUACAUCAUUACAAUUCAAAUCUUACAUAUCCUUUUUAAAAGUCAAAUGUUUGAACAAUAAAAGAUCUUUAAAUAUAAAAUCACAGCAAUAAUUAUUUCCCAUCUCUCUAAUUGUAUUACUCUAGUCCUGCCUUAUCUGUAACAUCAUCUCCUCUCAUACAAGUACGAUAAUUGCAGGUGGAAUCACAACUACAAUAGGCAAGGGUGAGUAACCAAAAAAUAUAACAUAACAUAUGUCACAAAAUAAUGUCAUCAAAGGCGGACUAUAUGUAAUGCCCAAAAUCUGGGAGUCACUUAGAGUAACAAAAAUUAAAGAAAUUUGCUAAGUCCAUAAUGUAAUUAAAGUUUUCCUUUCAUAAAAGUACUGAAGAAGGAGUUAAUCAAAAAUCUGGUAGUGGGGACAACUUGCACAUAAGCUCUCUCCACCAAGCUCUCUGAUCCUAGAAAUAUCUUUUCUGAUGGCCAUGGUCCUAGAUGCAGGGAAUAAUUUCUCCAAAAACAUUCUCUUAAGAUCAUCCCAACUAGUGAUGGACUUGGGAGCAAGAUAAUACAACCAGUCCUUUGCCACUCCCUCCAAUGAAUAUAAAAAUGCCUUUAAGAAUAUGUGAUCUUCAAGGACAUUUAGAGGUUUCAUUGUGGAACAGACUAUAUGGAAUUCCUUCAGAUGUUUAUGAAGGCAUUCACCUACAAGACCAUGGAACUUGGGCAACAAAUGUAUUAGUACAGUCUUGAGAACAUAUGGAACAUCUUCAUCAGGAUACUGGAUGCACAAACUCUCAUAAGGGAAAUCAAGUGCAGCCAUCUCCCUAAGAGUCCUCUCACAAGGUGGAGGUUGAGUCAUAUUACUCUCAGUAUAAAAACCAGCAGAAUCAGAAUCAGAAGCAGUAUGCACAAAAUAGAAAUUAGUAGACACAAAAGGAGAAUGCUCAGAAUUAUUUAAACUAAUGAUAUCUAGUGGUAUAGACUCUAAAGAUAAAUCUUAGAAUUCCUAACUAAUCUAUGGAAGGUCCUAUUGAUUUCAGGAUCAAAGUAUGGUAGUAGUCUCAUAUUGCCUCUAGUCAUGCAUUAUGUCAACACAUAUCAUUCAAAUUCAACACAAGCACACAUAGGGGUAAAACUGGAAGUAUACUCAAACAUUGUCCAAAUGAUCUGAAAAUCUUUUAGCAACACCCUAAAAUCAUGAAAAGAUGGCACACCAAAUUUCAAAGAAAAAUUCAAAGGAUAAUUAUAUCAACCACAAAAAGAAAGUUUGUAAAAACAGGGAAAUAAAACAUCAAAAAUAAAAAAGAAAUAGAAAACAUCUUUUUGAAGAUCUGAGCAUUGUAAACCAAUUACGCAAGUUGGGAUCAAUAAAUCUCAAUGUCCAAAUCAUAAGUUAUGGUAGUUAAAGUUUUCACAAAUCUAGGUCUCAAAAAAUUUUGAAUCUCAGAAUUGGGACUACUAUAGGUGCCUAUGGGAUUUGUCAAUUAAAAUAUAGAUUGAAAGAAGUGAACAUACAAAAUUUCAAGCAAAAACAACACCUCUAACUAUGAAAACAAAAAUUGCCAAUUAAUUAGGAAAAUUGGAUACUAUUCAUGCACUAUUCACAACAUUAUUCAUCUUGUUCAUUGAAUUUUCAUGUCAAAACAUGUUAAAUAGCUUGAACUCUCCAAAUUCUACCUUGUUUAACAUGCAACCCGUAUCAAUAGAUGUAGAAAAAUGCAAGACAACAUCAUGGAUGGACUUAAUUUAACAUGAAACAAAUCAAAACAAAAUGUUCGACAGAAACCGUUGGUCCCCAGCAACGACACCAAAUUUGAUCCAUGUCGUACUCUAUGAAAUAAAUGCAAUUAAAUGCAACACUAAGAAGUGACUCCUAGGUCAUCUCUCAAGGACCAAUUCUCUCUCUGUCAAAGCAUCGAACACGUAGUGGGGGGUUGAGUAGAUUAUAUGAAUUAAAAUAAAAUGAGCAAAUAGUGUAGAUUAAACAAUUAUUUAAGACAGGUUGGCUACUAGUUAGAUUGUAAUGCCUCUAUUCCUGAAUUAAAAAUAAGUCAUUCUUUUCUCUCACCCCCAAUCCAACACGAAUCAAUCAACUAAGCGGAGAUUAAUAUGAUUUUCAUGACUAUGAAUUAAGCAAAUGCACACAUAGAUUUAAUCACUUCUGCACUAGAGAUUAAGCAAUCAGGUUUAUAUGUAUACAAAUUAGACCAUUAAGCAUGAACCAAAUUAUAACACACACAACUAGAUUAAAUAUGAUCCAGAGGAAAGAGGAGCAGAAAAGCAAUGGUGCAAUAAUCUCAAGGAAAAAUUACAAUCAUUCUAGUUACCAAAUCAACAGAUUUAACCUUCCAUUAAACCAAAUUGCAACAUAGAGAAGAACACAAACUGUAAUUCAUUGAAGAACAAUGGAGGUUAGAAAAUAGGAACAACAAAAAAUGACUAAGAAAAAAAGGAAAAAUGAGAACGAAAAACCUAAGACCCCUUUAGCAGCUCUUACGUUCUAAAGGCCAAUUCCAAAAUUCAGGCUGCAUGGGUCCUAAAACUUAGGCAAGUUUACCUUACCCAUUCUAAAAAUGGGCCCAACUCAUAAAUCUGACCCAAAAUUACAAUGAAAUAAAAUGCAAACGAAACAAAAAAUGAUGAGGUGGGCAAUGGUGUUGUGCUGACGUGGUAGAUGACGUGGCAACUCCUCUUGAAGUACAGAAUAAAAUUCCAAAAUUUCCCUGAAAAUAAUAAUGGGAAUAAUUAUGCUCACAAAAAUCAAAUUAAUUAAAAUAUGAAUUACUGGUCGAAUUAAACCCAAAUAGAAAAAUUGAGAAAAAUAAUAGAUAGUUAAGCACAAUUCAAUAAUUAAACCUAAUCUAGAAAGAUAAGUAAAUAGGAGAAAAUAAUGAUUCAUCAAGUGGCUUGGCAAGAGAUGGGAAAAUUAUUACUUUGAGAUUUUGUUUAAAUUUAAUUGUUUUUUUCCGAAUUGGUGUUUUUAAAGGAUAUGUAAGGUUUUAUUUUUGCAUUGUAUGUACAUCUUAUAAAAUUGUGGUUUUUGUUUUCGUGGUUAUACUUUAUAAAAGCUUUUGAGUAAAUGGUGAGAACGAUUUUACAUAUUUUGUGUUGAGUAAGAUUGAUUAUUUCUUUACACAUGGCAUCCCAUUAGGGGUGUUACAAAACCAAGGUGCAGUUGAUAUAGAAGUUUUUGGUUGAAUUAAUUAAUUUAAGGUAUGUGUAAUAAAGGAUCUAGCUCAAGCGACCUACCAACUAUGGAAGGAAGUUAAAGGGGUAAAGGGAGAACUUAGAUUGAAGGUGACUUUUCAAGAAAUAGGGAGUUGGAGUCAUCUCAACAGCGUAACACUGUGCAUCAAAAAGUAAUUAAUACAAUGGAGGAGAGUUGUUUUUAUAGAGUUUGCAGCACCUUUGCACAAGGAUGAUAUGUUGUUGAUCACCAACCACUAAUCUAGGAUCACAUGCCACGAGGAUGCAGCGUUUUACAUGUGUUAAAAUUCGAAAAAAUCACCAAAAACACUGCAUGAGAAAGAGGUCUUUGCGUAGCCACUGGGCACAAGUUAGGAGGCGGUGAGUGAGCCAAAUCUGAAAGCUAAAGUGGGUUGCCUUCUUCAUGGACUGAAAUGGACUUCAAGUGGGCUUCAUUUGGGUCCAAAAGCUACCAAUGGAAUUGAGUAUAUAAUGAUUGGAGAUCCUUUGAUGUAUCUCCAAGUUAUUCUUGAAGCUUCCUAGCCAUACCAUGAGUAAUGAAUCCUUGAAUGGAGUUUGGACUUGGGCCCAAGUCAUCAUAAUCUAAACCCAAAAAUUAAAGAAGAUGUUGGUUGUUUGAACAAAGCCAAAGUGUUUUAGAACUAUUGGGAUGCAAUUGUGUUGGAACAACAUUCAUUUUAUUAAAAACUUCCUUUUUGAAUGGAUCAAAAGGAAGAUGUAACCCUAACCAAACAGAAAAAAGGACCUUUAGGGGAGGAAUUUGUUGAUAGGGGGAGCUUAACCUCUUUAUAUCUUAGUUUUUUUAUGAUGAAUAAUUAAAUGAUUAUUAGUGGUUUCUUGCAUAACAAAUGGCAUAACAAAUGUUUUAUCUUUAUCAUGUUUGUGCUAGAUAUGUAAUUCCAUUAGUGUUGAAUGAAUGAAGCUUAAAACAGAUUAAUAAUCUCAUUUCUAGUAUAAAUAAUCGAUUAAAUCAGUUAUAUAAUCUGUUAGAUUUAGCUAGAUCACUUAGAAAGCUAACAUGGGAAAACUGCUCUGUUAUAAUCGAUUAUAUAGGGUACAUAACCGAUUAAAAUGGAGAACAAGCCAUAAUAUAUUAUAUAUGUGAGAUAAUCUAUUAAGGAUGGAAAAUGGAUGGCUAAUAUGGCUAAGUGUGGAAAUAAUCAAUUACAUAAGUUUGAUAAUCGGUUAAAACAGUGAGCAUAGUCUAAUCCAUUAUAUAAAUAGCCUAAUUUGUUAAGAGUGUUAAAUGAAUCAAUAAUAGGCUUAAGUGUUUAAAUAAUCGAUUACACACAUAGGAUAAUCUGUUAAAGUAGAGAAAAAGAAUAAAAGAUUACGCAAUUAACAUAAUUGAUUAUACUGCAGCAAAUCCUAUAUAUAUGUGUCUUGAAACCUGUUUCCAAAACGUUAACAUUUUCAAAUACUGAAAAAUCUUCUGAGUUUGUGUACAGGUGCUCUCAAAGAAACAUUCUUGUAGGAAUUAAAACUUCCUUGGUGUUCAAACAACAAGGAUUCAUUCAAGGUAAUUGGACUACAUUGGUUCUGAUUAAUUCUACACUUUGAAGAGUGUGUUCAAGAUCAGGUUCUUCAACCAAUUUAUAUUAUGUACCUGUGCUGGUUAGUCAGGUUUCAAGAGUUGGGAUUACUCUUCGUAUUUGUAAGAGAUUGAGGGUGUUCAUAUCUUGUGUUGCUAUUUUGAUUUUGAGUGGUGAGAGGAGUGCAUUGAGAGGGUUGUCUCUGUAUUCUUGUAUACUUAAUCAUUAUAGUGGAAUCCCUUCAACUAAGGUUAUUGAAGGAAGACUAGAUAUAGGUUUGUGAUAACCGAACUAGUAUAAAUUGUUUGUGUUAAUCUUUCUUUUCUUUUUAUCUACUUAUUGAUUCAUUAUUCUUUGUUUAUUAAAAGUAAAAAAAAAAAUGUAUGAUAAAAAAUGUAUACUUUAAUUUAAGGUAUACCUUGUUUGUUUGUUGUUUUAUUAAAAAUACAAAAAUAGUCUUUUAAAAGUUAGAGUCUUUUAAAAGUUAGAGGUGAAAUAAUAAGUAACAAAAAAAAAAGUAAGAAAGGUGAGUAAAUUACUUUAAAAUCUAAGAUAUAUGUAACUUAAUUUAUUUAUAAAAGUAGCUUUUUCUAAAUUACUUUUUAAAUAUUUAACGUGUCAUGUUUUUUAUAUUUUAUUUUUUAUUUAUCUAUAAAUAUUAGUUGUUAGAAUUUUUUGGUUGAAAAUUUGAAUUUAUAAUAUUUUUUAUUCUCCCUUUCAAAAUCUAUUAAACUUUCUUUAUAUCUAUCAAAUGUUAAUAAAAAAGUUGAACAUAAAUUUUAUUUUAUUUUCUUUUCCUUCCACCUUCCUACUAAGUCAUUAUGAUUCCUGAAAAACAAUUGCUAUGAUUUGCUUUUACGUUUGAAAGCAAUAUAUAUAUAUAUAUAUAUAUAUAUAUAUAUAUAUAUAUAUAUAUAUAUAUAUAUAUAUAUAUAUAUAUAUAUAUAUAUAUAUUCGCUUUCAUUAUUACGUAGACAAUUGAGACAAUUAUUGAGAAUGUUUGAGAUGUUCAUAACAAAAUUAAUAGGAAGAUCUGAUAUCAAUUUGGUCCAACCUUUGCGAAGGAGAUCAUCACCGAAACGAAUAAAAGGUAUUUGUUGUCUACAAUUUUAUUAUUGUCCCCUUUCUUUGUCUGCCAUUUUUCUUUCUCAAGACCAAUAUUAGUAAUACUAACACAACUUUUCAGAUUAUUUUUUAUUAUUUACUAAACUAUAUGAAAAAUUAAUUUAUUUAUCUUCAUUAUUAUUAUUUGAUGAAUUUAUGUAACAUUUCCAAUUAUAUAUUAAACUAACGGAGCUAUCAUAUAAUUAAUAAAAUAGAAUAGUUAACAGGAUAAAAAAUAAAAGUUUUCAUUAUAGUCAUUUAUUAUAACCAUAAAAUUAAAAUUUUAUACAAAUAGCAAAACUAUAUACAACAAACUAGUAUAGAGAAAACAAAACAUUUGUUAUCCUUCCAUCCAAAGCUUGUUUCACGGUCAACUCAUCGCCCUAUGCUCACACCACUAGAUGAUCAUAACUAAGAUAAAAGCAGAAGAACAUACCAACAAUACUCAAACAAAAAGGAUAAGUUAGUGAUACAAAACAAUUCAUAAUAUACUUUAAGCAUUUCAUACUUGGAUCAUAUUUAUCACACAAACCAAACAUAUUAAACAUAUCAAGACCUAGACUAGACUAUCCGAAUUUAGUAUGAAUGUCGAUCUAUGGCAGGUUGUACACUUGUGGUGACCUCUACUUCUUUGCAAAGUCAUUGUCAACAAGUUUCACCCUACCACACUCACUAGGUUAGUUUGUACCAUGUCUUAGGUCAUACUCGAAGCACCUAGACUAAGACAUCUUGUUACUCUCACCACAUAUAUCAAUCUUCUUUAAUUGAGAAUGAAUAACCAUUAGAGUUUCAAGAUAACUCCUAAGACUGAACUCCCUACAUUCAUACCAACAACACUAGAAAUUCUUCCUUAGAAUUCUUUUACCACAGUAUCCAAAUUAGUGCAUCAAAAUCACAUAACAACCUAAAAAUUGGAAAACCAAAAACCUACAAAAGAAUACCCAACGCCUGGCGCCAGAGCCCAUUGGAAUGGGACGCUCAACGUGAGCGAGCUAGGGAGCUUACUGGAAAGUGAUGCUCAGGCGCCCUUAAAGGGGGCUCAACGCCACACUAGCCCCUAAAACACCUCUAAUAUGACAUUUGCUACCCUCUACACAUAUUUAAAUGAUUCCUAUAACCUCUUACGCAUUGAGAAACAUUUGAAAACACAUUUCUAACUCAAAGUAGAUAUCCCAAACAAACUUGACUACUUUAAACUUACCCAAUCUCCUUUCUACUCCUCCUAAUACCAAUUUCAGCAAAGCAAAGUUAUGAACAAGUCAUAAUGGACUCAAUAAUACACUCCAAGACUCCAGUUUCUUCACAACCUUUCUACUUUAAGUUUUCACUAGUUAGAACCUCAACUAUGAACUAAAAUGGUGACAAAAAAAAUCAACUCAAUGACCAAAUAUCAGUCCUACUUCCAAUCUUGCUUAAUUUAACACCUAAACAAGUUCUAAAUAACUUAAAAAAUGACCCUAAAAAGUUAGAUUGUCAACACAAACAAGUUCUUCUUUCUCAAUGAUUUUGAAACACGAGAUUUUAAUCAUGCUUUUUAUAUAAAUUUAUUAGCAUCGGUUAUAUUUUGAAAUUUAAUGACAACAUUUCAACAUAUUUUUAGAUGAAAAAAUUAAUUUUAAAAUACAAUUCUAAUAACAUACGCAACAAAAUAUUAAUAUAAAUAAAUUUAAUAUUUCUGAAAAAUAAAUUUAAAUGAGCUAUAUCACAAAAUAUAAUUUUUUAAAAAUUAAUUUUUUUUCUUAGAUAUAAUAAAAUAAAAUUCACCCAUAUUAAUCACUCAGUUAAUUAAAAUAUAACAAGUAAUGAGUAAUCUCAUAUUAGAUAUAAUACUUAUACCAUCCUAUCAACAAUCAAUUAACUAAAAUUAAUUAAAAUGUGUACAUAUGUAUGAAUUUAAGAAUAUCCAUUUAAUAUUUAUUAGGUAUUUUUAUGUGCAUUUACUUUUUUUUUGGUUGUGUAUACAUAUUGUAGUGAUAAAAAGGAGUUUAAAUUUUGUUCACUUGAGUAGAUUUGGAGAAGAUUAAUUGAGAGAAUUUGAAAGUAAUUUUUUUAUUGUUUAUUUGAAUAGAUUUGAAGGUAACCGAUAAUAAAUUUGGAAUUAAAAUUUGUGAAAAUUAGUGUAGAAUUUAAUUUAUAUGACAGAUUGAAAAAAUUUACUUCCAAAUCUAUUCUCAGUUAUCUCCAAAUCUAUUAAACUAAAUAAAAACAAAAAUUAUCAUCAAAUUCUCUUAUUUACUCUUCCUCAAAUCUACUCAAGUGAACAAAUCCUUAGAAUUUGAUUAUGCAAACGUGGAGCAAAGAAUAAAAUGAUAGAAUGUUGAAAUUUUGUAUUCAUUUUAAAAUGUUCUUUUUCCUGAAAAAUUGAGGUUAUUGUUUCAGCAUUCAAUGGAAAUAAUCGGUAGUUGACACCGGUACGUAUGUAUGGAUGUAUUACUGACACGUUCUAUGUCAUACCUGCUGAAAUGACCUUUAAAAAAGAAGAUGCAUACGAGGAUGAGACCACCUAAACUAUAUAAGCUGAUAAUGAUUACAUUCUCGAUUUUUUUACUAGAUUCAUAAUGUUGAGUUUAGUUUAUUCUUCUAAAUCACUCACUUGAAUGACAAGUUUGAACCGGAGUGCAAAAAAAAACUAACAUAACAUUCAAAUUGCUACUUAAAAUGGAAAAGGACGAGCACAAUUCUAGCUCAUCUCCUCUCCCUCACAACACCUACAAGAAUUGUAGAAAGGAAAAGAACACAACAAAGUUGCAAAAUCAUAAAUAACAUAUGAGGACACUGAAACUAUCUUCACCCCAUUUUCCAGGUCAUAGCAAAGUUUUUACCCACUGGGAUCUGCAAGCCCUUUAAAGCAACCAUGACAGUUUUCUUUUCUCCUUCUCCCUCACUGUUCAAGUGCUCAUGCUGUGAUGUACUAACAUUCACAUUUGACGCACCAAUUAGAGGCUUUCCAUCUAUCUCAAGUGAAGAAACUGCUCCACUUCCAUCUAAUCCCAACACUGAUAUGGAGUCAAUGAUCCAACCUUUAUCCAAGGCAAACUUCCCCUCUUGGACAUCUGACCAAACUUUCACGGCUCCUUGGUUCACAGUUGCAUACAGAUCAACAUAGGUUGAAUACCCAUUUCCAAGGUUCAUGUCUGGUAAUUCAUCAUUGUCAAGGAAAAGGUUGCCCUUAGCCUCUCCUUGUGCUGCUCCAGAUGGGAAGGUUACGAUGAGGGUGAAGGGUGUCGUUCUGGCCUCCUUGGAGACCAAUCCACCCUGCUGCAUUGGAAGAAUGGUAUUCUGAUACAAAUGCACAUUGACAACAUGCAGAGGAGCAUCCAGGGUAACGUAGACUCCGUCCUUUGAUGUAAUGGUGUGAGUCCAAUCAAGCAAACUGUACCAGCUACCGGGAGGAAACAGUGCUUUCACUUGUGUUUUCCCCUGCUCAAGCACUGGAGAAACCAUGAGACUGCUUCCUAGCAAGAACUGGGUGCUAAGGCCAUAACAUUCAGUGUAUGUUGGGAAUGAGAAGAAAAGAGGUCUGGCUAUUGGGGCUCCACUGACAUGAGCUUCAUAGUUCAGGGUGUAAAGGAAUGGAAGCAGCUUAUAUCUUAUCCCCAAAGCAUUUCUAGCAGACUCAGCCACUGACUGCCAUUGGUAAAGCUCCUGUCUAGGGGAGUAGUAGUUUGCAUGAUCCCUUGAGAAUGGGUAGAAAGCCCCUACUUCAAUCCAUCUAUUGCAUAGUUCUUCAGUAGGCUGUGGAUAGAACCCACAUAUAUCUGAACCCACCAUUGGCACCCCAAAUAUGCCAAAAUUGAGCAUUGUGGAGAUAGAAUACUUCAAGUUUUCCCAUGUUCCCUGAUUGUCACCUGUCCAAUGUGCAGCAUAUUUGCCUGAACCAACAUAUGUAGAACGGGACAAAAUAAAGGGUCUUUUUCCUUGAAGCCCUUG